rnacentral:lncRNA from 1 species
CGGAGGAGGCGCGCGGCUGGGCGACGAGGCGGUACUGGAGGAAGGCCUCGCCGUCGGGCGUCUCGAACUUCCCCGCCUCCUCCCUCCACACGACGCUGUCCUGCGCCGCUCCCCGCUCGCCGGCGCCGCGCUCAUCGUUUGCCAUCGCGGUGGACUGCUGUGAUUUUCUGUUCGUGUUUUCGUUUUCUUUUGGUUGUACUAGUAUUUUGUUUGUGGACUUGUGGUGUCGCGAUCCGUGAGUUCGUACAUAGACAUGCACAGUUGCACACAUACUAGUACGUUUCUAAAUAUAAUCUUUACCUAAUAAUAAAGAGGCUAUCCCUUCCGUCGGAAAACCCACCGAGGUGAUUUUACAAAAAAAACCUUACUGUUUAUGAUAUUAAACUCGUAGUAUAUAUUAAAUAUAUUUUUAAAUACUCAUAUAUUUUAAACCGUAACUUCAAAUUUAACAUAUUAUACAUGAAAUUUGAUUAGAAAAAUAUGUAGAAUUUAAAUAUGAUAUUAUUUUAUCUGUUAAACGUCUAAUAAAAAUACUAUCUAGGGUGCAAUCUUAAUAAAUAAGUCAUUAUUCGUCUUUCUUUCAUACCGGUACUCAUCCGGGUUGGGGAUGAACACGUCAACAAAAUCAGGAUUAGAGAUGAAACUGAAGGUCACUUGACUGAUACUUUGUACGUAUUAAAUCUACAUGCAAGCCGUGUUAAAAUAGAAGACCUGUGAAAUUUUAAACUGCAUUUUUGUAGGAUAAGACCAUCUUUAUUUGUAUCGUAACUAUAAAUUCUCAAAUUAUAGACAUUUUUUAUAAAUUAAGAGCGUGUGCCAUGUCGUAUUUCUUUCUCCCGUUGCAACGCAUGAGCCCUUUUGCUAGUUGUUUUUAAAGGUUCCACUAGUAAACUACAUACGAAUGUAUAUAGACAUAUUUUAAAUUAUACAUUCAUUCAAUUUGCUUCGUAUGUACUCCCUCCGUUCCUAAAUAUAAGACCUUUUAGAGAUUUUAUUAUAGACUACAUACAAAGCAAAAUGAGUGAAUCUACAUCACAUAAUAUGACUACGUACAUCCGUAUGUAGUUUAUAGUGAAAUCUCUAAGAUGUCUUAUAUUUAGAAACGAAGGGAGUAGAUUCCUAGUAAAAUAUUUUAUAAGACUUAUAUUUGAGAACGGAGGGAGUAUAAGUCUUCAUAGAGAUUCCGCUAAUAAUUACAUACAAAGUAAAAUGAAUGAAUCUAUACUUUAAAUAUGUCAAUAUAUCCAUAUGUAAUCUCCCCUAAUAAUAAAGCGCGCAGCGCUUCUGUUGUCCGUCGUCGGUCAUUUUGCAGAAAAGCCCUCACAGUUUCAGUUAAUUAACCCGCAGUCCAACUUUAAGUCAGAACGAACCGUUUUCUGUCGUUUUGCAGAAAAGUCCUCACAGUUUUAGAUAAUCAACCCGCGGUCCAUCUUUUAGUCAGAGGCGAACCGUUUUUUUUGCAUUUUACAGAAAACUCCCUGAUGUUUCACGUAAUCAACCCGCCGUUCCUAUUUAAGUCAGUCGAAACGUUUUUUCGUUUUAACAAAAAAACCCUGACUUUUCAUUUAAUCAAUCUAUAUUUUAUCUAAAACAAAAUUAUCCAUAUCUUUUAAACUGUAACUUCGAUUUUAACAUGUUAUAUAUGAAAUUUGAUUGAAAAAAUGUGUAGAAUCUAAAUAGGAUGUUAUUUUUAGCUGUUGAAUACUUCUUAAAUAUUAUUUUUGGUGCAAACUUAAUCUGUAGUGCACUGUCUUUUUCUCUCUCUUUCCGACGACCAUACGAAUUGCAAUAAAUAUUCAUUAAAUUAAAACCAAAUUGAAAGCAAAGAAAACAUCGUUAACCACACAUGCACACAUUUGCAAAAUCUCGUGGGGAGAAACAACAUAUUUCUCAUCUUAUUCCAAGUGAUUGUACAUUCAAACGUGUUUUCGUUGUGUGAGCACUAAGGCCAUCGUCGACAACAAAAAUGUGAUGCCAUGUGAAAAUAUAUUACGUUCAAAGCGUGUGUUAUUUUCUCUCCCGUUGCAACGCACGGGCUUUUUUGCUAGUCCAUAAUAAAACCCCUAAAAAUAUUUAUAUCUAGAAACAGAGGGAAUAUAUCUUUACGAACACAUCCAAGAAACUACACUGAUAUAUUAUAUUAACAUUAACAAAGUUAUCAUAGAUGUCUCCAUAUUUUUAUAUGUGCAUGUAAUAAUGGUAUUUAUUUUAACAUUAACAAAGUUAUCAUAUAUGUCUUCAUAUUUUUAUAUGUGCAUGUAAUAAUGGUAUUUAUUCAUCGAAAAUAAGGUUAUAGUCUGCUAAUACAAUUCUAGAGACAGUGUUUGGAUAAUGGUGUGACCAACAAGGGAUGCUAGACUCAACUUUAUUUGGUGACGCUCAAUUUUCUAUAGAAUAAACCCAUGAGAUUUCAAAAGCUUCUUAAUUUUCAUGGUAAGAUGUCCAUAAUCAAAAUGGUCCAAAAAAUUAUUUGUUAGAGUUGUAAUCACCGUAGUUAACGCGAAAGUCUUGAGCGCACAUCGACAUGAUGAAUGAAAUAAAUUGAUGAGGACAUCAACACUAUUGUUACACCCACAACCCCACCUGCUAUACAUACUGGACUCGUUACUAGAGCUCGUGCACGCCAGUUGAAUUACCAGGUACUUUCGUUUCUUGGGAAUACUUCUAAUGUUCAUGAACAUAUGAUACUGCCUAAGUUAGAUACUUUUGUUGUGCUCAUGAAUGAAGGAUCUAGCAUGGACAAUAAGGAUAUCCGUUGGAGCAGAAUCAAGCAUGGAGAAGAAGGUGCACGCACGAGAGAGAACAAUAGAGCUUCCACUGGUGAUUUUCGCACUCUAAAGCCACCAUAAGGAGAGCAUGAAGGCUUUGGACGAAAUAUUCAAGACGCCACUUUAUAAAUUUUGUCCAUAGGAUAUUAUAGGUGUUGCACCAUAUUAUUUUUUGGGCCAGGCCCAUAAUUUCGAAAUACCAUAAUAUAGGCUAUUUUUAGAGUCCGUAUGUGUGGGGAAACCGAGUUUAGGGCUGUUUUCGGACCCCCUCCUCCAAGGGUCACGAAAUUGCCUCUCUAUUCCCUCAUAUAUACAACCCUUAGGGCACCGUUUAGAAUUGGGUUUUGUUUAGAUUACAAGUUCGCCAUAGCUGCAACUUCGCGUUCUUCGUUUGUGUUCUAUGACCAGACAAAGGCGUCACAGAACCCCACCUUCAUCAAUAAAGCUUUCCUCUUAUAUUUGCAAUAUGUUGAUUGCAUUUUAGUUUCUUGCUUGUUCUUCAUUUGCGUGCAGGAAACAAACCUUUGUGGUCAAGUUGAUCAUGCUCCGGCGUGGUCAAUAACCUCUCGAAGUUGGUUUAGCGAUUGCUAAGGCGCGACGUCCUCACACAUUCGUAGUCGGAUCGUCAAAGUCUACUCCACCAAAAUGAUACCCACGAUCUCAUCGAAAGACAGGGACAACUUCGCCUCUAUCAUAAAUUCAAAAAAUACGAGCAUCAAUGUCAAAUCUAACGCUUAAACUUUGGUGGGUAAGAAUAUCACUAUCAUCAUAACCAUCCAGCCAUAAGUUGAUCCAUCCGCAAGUCAUGAGUUAGUACGACGUUCCUUGCACAACUCGAAGAGGCAAAAACUGGCGCGAAACUGCCUCACAUACAAUCUGAUUCCGUGAUAGGUGUGUGCAUAAUCGAAUCAUUAAACGAUGUCUCCAACAUAACCUUCAAUAAUUCUUUCAAGAAUUAUUCAAUAUGACCAUAUAAUAAUAAGUACCCGAUUAUCUGGCUGACGUUUCCCACAAGAAAGGCGUGUCGUGGGAACGAGCCUCACAAUAGAGGUUAGGGGUACGUAAGGAGAGGGCAGAGUCCUAGCUACGACGAGAUUGUACACACGAAUAUAUGAGUUCAGACCCCUCUCGUUGAGGUAAUAGCCCUACGUCUUAGUGCUCUGGAGCUUCUGUCGUGUGGGAAGUGUGAGUUACAGGGGAUGUGAACCCUUGUGCCAGAGGGGAGGGGUGACUUAUAUAGAGUGCACCACCCCUCAUCAAUCCCCGGCAACCAAGGGUUCAAUCAUGGUAAUAAAGAUACACGUUAUUGAUGAUGUAUGCAAUAAAUGCUACUUAUGGCGACCAGUCGAAUGCCUGCCUGUUGGCCUCCCUGGAGUAGCUUCUGAUAUUUUGAGGUCAACUAGCUUCAGGUUCUUCCGAGUGAAAGGCAAAUGAAGAAUGGAGGGAGAAACCUCCGAGUGGAUGUGGUGCCGAGUGACACAUGUGCCAUGGUGAUUUCAGUUGGAGUCUUCCUUGUAGUCUUUAAGUCCUCCAAUGUAGUGUCCUUGGGUAGGACAUAUAGGCCAGGCCUAUGACCCUACCCUAGGUACAUAUCCCCAUCAUUAGCCCCCGAAUGGAUCGGGGUUCGAGUGAAUAAGGGUCGAUGCAGAUUCUGAUAAGAUACACAGAUCCCGAAUGCAUUUUAGGGCUUCACAGAAGUAUGCGUCGAUUGAAGUCUUUAUCAUUCACCCUCAUCAAUUCCGUUUUGACAUGUGUCCGAAUGAACUUGAGUAUGGAAUCUGGUUCAAGCGGUAAGCAGGGUCCCUUGAUGCGACGAGUCGCUUCGUCAAGUCUGGAUUUCACGGGAUUCAAAAAUUUGGUAAGCGCACGUUGCACGAUGAUGAUGCAACAAUCGUAGCAAGUGGGGGCAUGAUGCCUCGAUCUUUGCGCCAUCUUUAGCGCCACAUAUCGUGCUUCCUAUGAAAUAGGGAUACACAGGGAUUCAGCGGCCCCAUAGGUCAGCGACUCACUCGGAUGGUUAUAAAACGGGACGAUGCUAGGGCUGGAAUAAUGCUCCUCCGUCAUUCGCCUCUUUUCCUCCGCCCUCUCUGCUCCACGCGCGCCGCUCAGCUCCGCCCCGAUGACCGUCGCCGCGAUGACGAAGGGGAAACGGAGAAGCUGGAGCGUGCGAAGAAGGGAGCCAAGGGGAGGAAGUCGUCAAGCGCCCGGUCUUCGACGCAGCCGGGCUGGAUUCAAGGACAUUUCCUUCGGCCGACCGUCAUUGCAGAGGAUGUCAGUAAUCUUGUCGUUGACGGGAUGAUAGCUGACGGGUCGUGGAGAUUGCCGGAGGGAGAGACCGAGCGGGAGCCGCGCAAAGAUGAGCGGGUCCUCCUCCUCUCCCACGUCGAACGAGGUUUUUCUUUGCCUCCCCAUCAAUUCUUCCAUGGGUUCUUGAAUUUCUUUGGCGCACAACUUCAUCAUUUUCCUCCGAAUACCAUUGCGUACCUCUGUGCCUUUGUAAUAUUGUGUGAAUACUUCUUGGGUUGUUCACCCCACUGGGGACUGUUCAAGCACAUCUUCACUAUUCGGUCUCAAUCGGUCAAAAAGGCCAAAUCUAGCGACAGUAAGACCAAUGUCACCCAACUAUGGGGUGGCUUGGGACUCCACAAGAGGAGCAAGAGCGCGUUUCCGGCAAUGACCCUUCCGAAAUCCGCUCGGGGUUGGCAGUCGACUUGGUUUUAUUGUAAGGAUGUUGCGUCUCCUAAUAUGUCGUCUGGCCUUCCUCCUUCACAUUAGAGAGUCCCACUACUCCCAGAACAUUGAACGUGGCAGAGGAAGAAAAAGUCCGGGUAGGAAUUUUAGUGAAUGCUGUAGUGAACUUGGUCCGUGGCGGAGUGACUGGUAUGGACCUUUUAGAGGCGUUUCGCGGUCGGUGAAUCCAGCCCCUUCAAGCGAGGGACCACACUGGCAUUAUUCAAAUGUUGAAGACACCACUCGGACCCAUCCGGAGGAAGUCUCUGAGGAGAUUGUUGCGUAGUGGCUCACAAGCAUCACUGGAGCUUGUGACAAUCCUCUCGGAGCCAAGCGAAUCCCACCUUUCUGUGCCAAGAACCCGCCGCCGAACUUGGUGAGUUAUAUCUUUGUUGAGUGCUUUCAUAUUUCGUCGAGUGAUCAGAUCUUCAGCCGACUGACUUUACUGUUUGUAUCUUGCAGGAGUUAACGCACAUGUACUCGCCCAUACCAAAGGAGGACAACUUGAUGACGGAGAAGAGAGUGCAGGUGACAGCGUAGACACUGAUUAUGCUAAUGACAGUGAAGGUGGUGACGACGACUCAAAGGAGAGCGAGGAAGAUGCUCAGUCCCCUCCGCGCAUCGAACAACGAACCAAGCAGCGUCAAGACCCAGCGGCUGUCCCAAGUAGAACCCUCGCAUCGUGCAUCAGGAAUCCGGAGCGUGACCAGGCUCCGACCUCUGAGUCGACUGAAAAGGCUGCGAAGUAGCUUAAGUCUGCUCCGCCAAAACCUCGGAAGGCUCUGCCCCAUAUGAAGAUCGACGUGCCCGUUGCCUCAACGCGAGUGCCCAUUUUCCUUCUUCUGUUGUUGUGGAACUUCAUGUUUUUUCUGAACGAGUGAAAUUUUCUUGUCAGUGCUGCUACGUCGGUGACAUCACCUCCGUGAUACGAAGAUGAGCACAUGGAAAUGGAAACUGCUGACGCGGCCACUUCUCAACGUGGUAUAACAAAUCUUCACACUGCUCUGUUUUUUGGAAAUGAUUCGUCGAUUGAAUCUGUUAGCGUUGUCGAUUGGUAGCUACAGACGUCAUCCUUGUGGACGACGAUGAGGAGCCUCACAGGUCGGCUGCUGCAUUGUCUGAAGGACUUGGCGACUCUUCACGAGCCGCAACUGGACUUGAGGUUCCGCUGUUGAGUGCCCCACCAACAACUUCAACUCUUAUGGUCUCGGCGCCAAUUGAACAACUUCAGGCCACUCUUGUGACCUCAGCUGUAGCACCAACUCAUCCAACGCCCGCGUUCUCUCUGCACAACGUCCGAGAGGACCAGACCGGAGCUGGUAAAGAGGCCAUGAUCCAGGCUGAGCAAAUGAUGCUGUGAGUGAAGGAGGCAUAUGAGGCAAGGAAGUUCGCUUAUGAUGCGAGCUCAGCGCUUCGUGCCAAUGUUUGAGUAAGUGCGAUUGUAAGUUCAUUUCUGAUUGAAUUCAUGUCCAUCCUGACUCUACACCCACUGGGUGUUUUCUUUUGGUGCAUACUUGUUUGUUUUCUCCUUGAGUAGAUUAGGUCUUAGUCGAGUGGUCUCUAGUCCAGUGGGGGCACGCUGAGUGCACCCACUAGUUGUAGUCCCCGAGACCGAUGUCGAAUGGCGUUGAGAUCGACAGGGGUCUUAUAUUUGUUUUGAUAGUCGCUUGACGCUCGACAGGUCGGACCUGGUCGAGUGAAAGUAGGUCUAGUGGGGGCACGCUGAGUGCACCCACUGGGUGUAGUCCCCGAGACCGCUGUUGAGUGCUUGCAUCGACGGGGGUGUGAUAGAGACAAUUUUGCAAGUUUGCUCUCUCUUUUUAUUAUUACUCAGAUAGGCCGGACCUGGUCGAGUGGUGUUGUAUCCAGUGGGGGAACGCUGAGUGCACCCACUGGGUGUAGUCCCCGAGACUACUAUCGAUCGUCUACGAUUGGCAGUAGUCUUAAGAACUCGGACUCGGGGUCAUUUUUCGUACUUGAAGUACGCUUGUCACUCGGCCUUGCAGGUUUCAUGGACAUCAUUUCCAUCAACCAUGAUAUGACGCUUUACAGGGGUGUGGGUUGGGGCGGCGGGCCGCCAUUCAGUCGACUGAACUUGCUCUUUUCCACUCGGGAGUGGGGAAGUAUUAAUGUUGACUAAACUACUUCUUUGUUGACUUCAGAAAGCUUGUGAGAUUGGCACUAAGUAUGUCGACCUGGAGAAGGAGAAAAACGAGCUUCAGCUGGAUCUAGAGGUGAUCAAGAAUGACCUGAACUGUGCACAGACCGAGCUGAAGACCCUGCAAGGUAAACUUUGUCGACCAAUCACACUAUCAUUUUCAUCUUCUAUCCUUUGAACCGAGUGUUCACACUCGAACAGGCGUGCGUAAUGAGAACUGCUGACUCCAAGCGCGACCCAACAAUGUUAUUUCUUUAGAUACCGCGAGGAAAGCACUUGAAGAUAAAGACCAGGAACUCGCUGAUGCACAGAAGGUGGCGAAGGAGAAAACCGAAGCCACUGAUAAGAAGCUUGCCGAAGCCGGUAAGUUGGAAGAAGAGAAUGCCAAACUCAAGCAAGAACGAGCUGAUUGGAUGAAAAGGGCUGAAUAGCUGACCAAGAAAAGGAGCGGCGUGGAGAACUACUUGGGAGACUUUGUGAAGAAGAUGUUGGACAUGCUUGAAGGUAACUUUUCUUCUGCCGAGUGAAUUUCCUCAACCUCCACGAAAUAGUAGCACGACCAACCUUUCAUUUCCUCUUCGUGUAGAAUUCUGCCAAGACUUCAACAAAGAAACUAAGGAGAUCGAACCAAAUCUGGACCCUACCAAGUCACCCGUCGGGGACGUUGUGGCCAUGAACAUGUUUCGCCUUGACGCUCGUCUCAGAAGUGUCCAAGGUUAUUUCACUCAACUGAAACCUGCGCUGGUGAAGAUUGACAAGGAUUUGUGGCUAGAAGACACUCUCGAGACUGAUCUUGAGUCGAUGAUGGUCCGUUUCAACGAGAUUCCAGUCGAGUAGAAGCAUGAAAGAAAUCUGCUGCUCGCUGCGGAGCUAAUGUGCCGCUUUCAAUCGUCCGGGUCCAUUGCAAGGAAUCCUAGGAGGACAAGUUGAAGGUUCUCCAGGUGGGCAACAUGAAGAAACUUCAAUUUGAAAACUUCAUGGAGACAUUCAUCGAAGUAGCCACUCGGAUCACCGACGGGAUAGAUUUGGAUACCUUCGUCGAGCCCGCGAGCCUCGAUGGUGCUUGAGAAAAAACUCUGCGUUUAGUUCAAAACUUUAUUUGCCUCGGUAUGGCGAGUGAUGGUGUAACCGUUUAAAACUUCGUUUAGUCCUUAAGCGUGAGAACUUCCGCACACGAGGACGACUUUUAUCCGCGCAAAAGAUCUUUGAUUUAUCUGCAUUUUGCUUUCCAAUCCUUUGUUUGGCUAAGUCUGUUUGCUUUCAAAAUGUGACUGAUGCUCAUCACUCGAAAAGAUUUUAAACUUAGGCAAAGACUGAUUCACAACUAAGCCUUCGAGUGCGAAGAAUGUUCGUCACUCGGAAAAUUUUUAAACUUAGGCGAAGACUGAUUCGCAGGUAAGCCCCCCGUGUGAGAAGAAUAUUCGUCACUCAGAGUAUUUUUAAACUUAAGCGAAGACUGGUUCGCGGCUAAGCCUGCGAGUGAUAAGAAUAUUCGUCACUCGGAGUAUUUUUAAACUUAGGUGAAGAUUGGUUCACAGCUAAGGCCCCGAGUGCGAAGAAUGUUCGUCACUCGGAGAAUUUUUAAACUUAGGGGAAGACUAAUUCGUAGCUAAGCCCCCCCGAGUGAAAAUAAAAUUCGUCACUCGGAGUAUUUUUAAACUUAGGCAAAGACUGGUUCGCGGCUAAGCCUACGAGUGAGAAGAAUAUUCGUCACUCGGAGUAUUUUUAAACUUAGGCAAAGACUGGUUCGCAGCUAAGCCCCCGAGUGCAAAGAAUGUUCGUCACUCGGAGAAUUUUUAAACUUAGGCGAAGACUGGUUCGUAGCUAAGCCCCGGAGUGAGAAGAAUAUUCACCACUUGGAGUAUUUUUAAACUUAGACGAAGACUGGUUCUUAGCUAAGCCCCCGAGUGUGAAAAAUAUUCUUCACUCGGAGUAUUUUUUAAACUUAGGCGAAGACAGGUUCGUAGCUAAGCCCCCGAGUGAGAAGAAUGUUCGUCACCCGGAGUAUUGUUUUAAACUUAGGCGAAGACUCAUUCGCAGCUAUUGCACUCGAGUGAGAAGAAUGUUCAUCACUCGGAGUAUUUUUUAAAGUUAGGCGAAGACUGGUUCGCACCUAAGCCCCCGAGUGAGAAGAAUGUUCAUCACUAGGAGUGUUUUUUUAAACUUAGCUGAAGACUGGUUCACAAGUAAGCCCUCGAGUGAGAAGAAUGUUCGUCACUCGGUGUAUUUUUUAAACUUAGGCGAAGACUGGUUUGCAGCUAAGCCCCAGAGUGAGAAGAAUAUUCGUCACUCGGAGUAUUUUUUAAACUUAGUCGAAGACUAGUUCGCAGCUAAGGCCCUUGAGUGAGAAGAAUGUUCAUCACUCAGAGUAUUUUUUAAACUUAGCAAAGACUAGUUCGCAACUAAGCCCCCAAGUAAGAAGAAUGUUCGUCACUUGGAGUGUUUUUUUAAACUUAGGCGAAUACUGGUUCACAGCUAAGCCCCCGAGUGAUAAGAAUGUUUUGUCACUUGGUGUAUUUUUUAAACUUAGGCGAAGACUGGUUCGCAGAUAUGCCCCCCCGAGUGAGAAGAAUAUUCGUCACUCAAAGUAAUUUUAAACUUAAGCAAAGACUUGUUCGCAGCUAAGCCUCCAAGAGAUAAGAAUAUUCGUCACUUGGAGCAUUAUUAGACUUAGGCGAAGACUGGUUCGCAUCUAAGCCCCCGAGUGCAAAGAAUAUUCAUCACUCGGAGAAUUUUUAAACUUAGGUGAAGACUGAUUCGUAGCUAAGCCCCCCCCCCCCCCCCACAGNAAGCCUCCCAGUGAGAAGAAUAUUCGUCACUCAAAGUAUUUUUAAACUUAGGCAAAUACUGGUUCGUAGCUAAGCCCCCGAGUGCGAAGAAUGUUCGUCACUCAGAGAAUUUUUAAUCUUAGGCGAAGACUGGUUUGCAGCUAAGCCCCCGAGUGAGAAGACUAUUCGUCUCUCGGAGUAUUUUUAAAGUUAGGCGAAGAUUGGUUCGUAGCUAAGCCCCCGAGUGCGAAGAACAUUCUUCCCUCGGAGUAUUUUUUAAACUUAGACGAAGACAGGUUUGCAACUAAGCCCCCGAGUGAGAAGAAUGUUCGUCACUCGGAGUAUUUUUUAAACUUAGGCGAAGACUAGUUCGCAGCUAAGGCCCUUGAGUGAGAAGAAUGUUCAUCACUCGGAGUAUUUUUUAAACUUAGGGGAAGACUGGUUCGCAACUAAGCCCCCGAGUGAGAAGAAUGUUCGUCACUCGGAGUGUUUUUUAAACUUAGGCGAAGACUGGUUCACAGCUAAGCCCGUGAGUGAGAAGAAUGUUCAUCACUCGGUGUAUUUGUUAAACUUAGGUAAAGACUGGUUCGCAGCUAAGCCCCCGAGUGUGAAGAAUGUUCAUCUCUCGAUGUAUUUUUUAAACGUAGGCGAAGACUGGUUCGCAGCUAAGCCCUCGAGUGAGAAGAAUGUUCGUCACUCAGAGUAUUUUUAAACUUAGGCGAAGACUAGUUUGCAGCUAAGCCCCCGAGUGAGAAAAUGUUCGUCACUUGGAGUACUUUGUAAACUUAGGCGAAGACUGGUUCGCAACUAAGCCCCCGAGUGAGAAGAAUGUUUGACAUUCGGUGUAUUUUUUAAACUUAGGCGAAGACUGGUUUGCAGCUAUGGCCCCCGAGUGAGAAGAAUGUUCGUCACUCGGAGUAUUUUUUAAACUUAGGCGAAGAUUGGUUUGCAGCUAAGCCCCUGAGUGAGAAGAAUGUUCCUCGCUUGGAGUGUUUUUUUAAACUUAGGUGAAGACUGGUUCGCAGCUAAGCCCUCGAGUGAGAAGAAUGUUUGUCACUUGGUGUAUUUUUUAAACUUAUGCGAAGACUCAUUCACAGCUAAGCCCCUGAGUGAGAAGAAUGUUCAUCACUCGGUGUAUUUUUUAAACAUAGGUGAAGACUGGUUCGCAGCUAAGCACUCGAGUGAGAAGUAUGUUCGUCACUCGGAGUAUUUUUAAACUUAGGCGAAGACCGGUUCGCACCUAAGCCCCCGAGUGAGAAGAAUGUUCGUCACUCGGAGUAUUUUUUAAACUUAGGCAAAGACUGGUUCGCAGCUAAGCCCCCCAGUGAGAAGAAUGUUCGUCACUCGGUGUAUUUUUUAAACUUAGGGGAAGACUGGUUCGUAGCUAAGCCCCCCGAGUGAGAAGAAUGUUCGUCACUCGGAGUAUUUUUUAAACUUAGGCGAAAACUGGUUCGCAGCCGAGCCCCCGAGUGAUAAGAAUGUUCGUCACUCGGAGUAUUUUUUUGAAUGUGAGGUUGUGCGAUCGGAAUUGACAAAAGACCGCGGGAGUCAUAGCUUUGAUAAACAACAUUGUCUAGAGUACUCUUAUUACAUCAAACAACUCAGUUGUCAAGUAUAAAAACGUCGAAGUAAAUCUGCGUUCCAGGCACGUGGUUCAUCGAUAUUUUUCUUGGGUUUGAAAAGGUGGUAGGCUCCAUUGUUCAACACUUUGGUGAUGAUGAAAGUACCUUCCCAUGCGGGGGCGAGCUUGUGAGGCCGAUGCUGAUCCACUCGGAGCACAAGAUCACCUUCGUGAAAUGACCGACUUUUGACGUGCUUUGCAUGGAAGCGACGCAAAUCUUGCUGGUACACGAUCGACCUCACCAGAGCCACUUCGCGUUUUUCUUCCAGGAGAUCCACACCGUCUUGUCUUUCUUGUUCGGCUUCAUCUUGUGAGUAAAGAUCUACGCGGGGAGAAUUGUGAAGGAGAUCACUCGACAGAACGGCCUCGACUCCAUACACCAUGAAGAAAGGAGUUCGCCAGUCGAUCGGUUAGGAGUCAUCCUCAAACCCCACAGAACAGACGACAAUUCGGCAACCCAAGCUCCCUCUAUGUGAUCAAGAUCUCGCAUGAGUCGAGGCUUCACUCCUUGAUGGAUAAGACCAUUUGGUUGCUCAGCUUGACCAUUGGUAUGGGGGUGCGCAACAGAUGCGUAAUCCAUUCGAUUGCCUUGGGUAGAGCAAAAGUAUGUGAACUCUUCCGAGUCAAAGUUUGAACAUUAUCUAUGAUGAUAUUGUGGGGAACUCCAUAUCGAAACGUUAUCUCUUUUAGGAAUUUGAUAGCAGUAUGCGAAUCCAUCUACUUUAUGGGUUUAGCCUCAAUCCAUUUGGUGAACUUGUCGAUUGCUACAAGCGAAUGCAUGAAUCCACUCUGGCCCGUUCGGAAAGGACUGACCAUAUCUAAGCCCCAAACAGCAGACAAGUGGAGUAGUCUCGAGGGCAGACGCAGACUUAUAUGACAAGUUUGCAUAAAACUGACAUCCUUCGCAGUGUUCAACAAUUUCCUUAGCCAUUUCGUUGGCGCGCGGCCAGAACAAACCAGCUUGGUAUGCUUUGGCAACAAUUAUCCUUGAGGACGCAUGAUGACCACAGGUCCCCGAAUGGAUUUCCUCUAGAAUCAAUCGACCUUCUUCAGGAGAGAUGCACCGCUGAGUUACGCCAGUUACACUUUCUUUGUAAAGUUGACCAUCCAUCAUAGUAAAGCCCUUGGACCCGUAGACGAUCUGCCGAGUUUCAACCUCGUCUUCUAGNNNNNNNNNNNNNNNNNNNNNNNNNNNNNNNNNNNNNNNNNNNNNNNNNNNNNNNNNNNNNNNNNNNNNNNNNNNNNNNNNNNNNNNNNNNNNNNNNNNNGAAGAAGAAGAAGCAACUCUAAUUGAACAAUCAACGCGCUCGCGUCAAGUAACCUUUACAUGUACCUGCAACCGGUGUUGUAGUGAUCUGUGAGCCACAUGGGACUCAGCAAUCUCAUUUCCAAAGGUAUCAAGACUAGCAAAGCUUAAUGGGUGAGGCAUGGUUAAGUGGUGAGGUUGCAGCAGCGGCUAAGCAUAUGUAUAUGGUGGCUAACUUACGAGUACAAGAAAUAAGAGGGGGAAGAUCUACGCAUAACGGACGCGAACUACUGAUGAUCAAAAGAAUGAUCCUGAACACAUACCUACGUCAGACAUAACUCCACCGUGUCCUUGAUCGGAGAAGGAACUCACGAAAGAGACAAUCACGGUUACGCACACAGUUGGCAAGUUUUAAUUAAGUUAACUUCAAGUUAUUUAGAGCCAGUGUUAAACAAAGCUUCCACGUUGCCACAUAACCGCGGGCACGGCUUUCCGAAAGAUUUAACCCUGCAGGGGUGCUCUAACUAGUCCAUCACAAAUUACCACAAGCCGCAUAGAAAUCCUCAAUCACGAAGCUCGCGAUCUCGUCGGAUUCCCUAGUGGAAAACCUCAACUCUGAAAAUACCCAAAGCAUCACCGGGAUCCCGAUGCACAAGAUAUCUCGUCAAAGGUAAAAAUAAUCCAGCAAGGCCGCCCGGCGUGUCGACGAUCCUGAUAGGAGCCGCGUAUCUCGUUCUGAGGACACGACGGAUAAGCGAAGCGUACGAGUGCCAAACCUCGAGUUUCCUCGCGGUGGCCCCGCACGGUGCUCUGUUUUGGACCAGCACCAUCAGCAUCGGCCCUCCCUGUAUUAUGUGAAAUUACUCCUCGGGUUCAUGACGCCCUAUGCUUUCAGUAUUAACAAAGUUAUUAUGUUGGGCNAUUAACAAAGUUAUUAUGUUGGGCAAAUGUAGUACCAAUGUUGGGCCUUGCCAGACCAGCUUUAAUCUAAAACGAAUUAUCAAGGGGGUCCCCAUAACAACCCCGACCGUGUUAGGAGCGCUCGUUUAUGGAACAUAACACCGGUACCCGAAACUAAGGGGGCAAAGGUGGAACAAAACACCAGGCUAGAAAGAUCGAGCCUUCCACCUUUUACCAAGUAUAUAGGUGCAUUAAAUUAAAUAGCAUUGAAUAUGGUGGUAUGACAAGGAACCCAUGUUAUCACAUUGAAGCAACUACACCUGCAACUAGCAACGCUAACAACAUGGAUAAGCAAGCUGUAACAUAGCCAAUCAUUGGUUUGCUAGGUCGAACAGGUUGAAGGUUAUCAUGGUAUUGUUGAGAGGCUGNNNNNNNNNNNNNNNNNNNNNNNNNNNNNNNNNNNNNNNNNNNNNNNNNNNNNNNNNNNNNNNNNNNNNNNNNNNNNNNNNNNNNNNNNNNNNNNNNNNNAGCUACAUCCUAGCAAAAUAGUAAACGCAUCUGCAAGCACAUAUGUUAGUAUAAAGACAACCCUAUGGCUCCUGCCGGUUGCCGUACCAUCGACGUGCAAGUCGAUAUUUCUAUUACAACAUGAUCAUCUCAUACAUCCAAUAUAUCACAUCACAUCAUUGGCCAUAUCACAUCACAAUCAUACCCUGCAAAAACAAGUUAGACGUCCUCUAAUUUUGUUGUUGCAUGUUUUACGUGGUGACCAAGGGUAUCUAGUAGGAUCGCAUCUUACUUACGCAAACACCACAACGGAGAUAUAUGAGUUGCUAUUUAACCUCAUCCAAGGACCUCCUCGGUCAAAUCCGAUUCAACUAAAGUUGGAGAAACCGUCACUUGCCAGUCAUCUUUGAGCAAAGGGGGUUACUCGUAACGAUGAAACCAGUCUCUCGUAAGCGUACGAGUAAUGUCGGUCCAAGCCGCUUCAAUCCAACAAUACCGCGGAAUCAAGAAAAGACUAAGGAGGGAAGAAAAACGCACAUCACCGCCCACAAAACCUUUUGUGUUCUACUCAAGAAGACAUCUACGCAUGAACCUAGCUCAUGAUGCCACUGUUGGGGAACGUCGCAUGGGAAACAAAAAAUUUCCUACGUGCACGAAGACCUAUCAUGGUGAUGUCCAUCUACGAGAGGGGAUGAGUGAUCUACGUACCCUUGUAGAUCGUACAGCAGAAGCGUUAGAGAACGCGGUUGAUGUAGUGGAACGUCCUCACGUCCCUCGAUCCGCCCCGCGAACAAUCCCGCGAUCAGUCCCACGAUCUAGUACCGAACGGACGGCACCUCCGCGUUCAGCACACGUACAGCUCGACGAUGAUCUCGGCCUUNNNNNNNNNNNNNNNNNNNNNNNNNNNNNNNNNNNNNNNNNNNNNNNNNNNNNNNNNNNNNNNNNNNNNNNNNNNNNNNNNNNNNNNNNNNNNNNNNNNNGGACUAGGUUGCGGACAGGUCGGUGCACUGCGCAGAGGGGCUAGGCAGGGAUGAGAGGGAAAACGGGCGAUGCGGCAACGUAUUUUAAAAACACCGACAACCUUCCGACGGUAGUCCGAAUACGGUGCCGCUACGGUCGACCGUUCGCGUACCAGACGGACUCCGAUCGCGACGAAAUUCGACAGGCGGUCUAGCUAUAUUAAAAUACGACCGCACGUCGAAUAGCAAGCCAAUCAGAGAAGGUUUUCGCACACUUUUAAAACUGGGUUCGACGAUGCCGCGGGUGCGUGCGUGUGCGGUCGGGCUCAGAACGGACAACGACGAGAACCGGCAACUAACAACGGAUGCAAGUUUUGAAAACUGGCGGCAACGGAGAUGCCGAUGCAAUGCAGAUGAUGCGCAUGAUGCGAUGAUGAUGCGACAAAAGAAAAAUAGACACACGGCGAAAACAGAAAGAAAGGAGAAUCUUCUGGAACGUCGGCAUCGGGUGUCACAACUCUCCUACACUACAAGAGGAUCUCGCCCCGAGAUCCAAGAAAGGGGGAGAGGAUGAGAAAGCAAGAGGUAAAAAUUUAGUCGCUUCUUGACAAACGAGUGAAACCAACGAUCCUUGAAGGUUGCAAGGAGAUGAGGAAUGACAUGGGAAAGAAGCAAGAAUUCACGGAAAAUUUCGGCAGCACUUCGGUAGGAAAAUGGGACAAAAAAUUCGAUAAGAAGGUAGAAAUAGACAAUAUUCACAACAAACAAGUAAAUAGAACAAGGGAACAACAUGACCUUGAUAGGAUAACAUGAUUGACCCAAAGAGCAACGUCACAAUGCCUCCGGAACAAGAGAAUAUUAACUAGCUCAUACGGAAGAAGAGAAUGAAGAAAAGAAUGACAACUAUCAUCACAAUAGAAUUGAAGAUCCUCCGGACUGAGAAUUGACGUAGCAAUUGGAAACCCAACAACCAAAGGAACAAGAUAGUAGUGGGCUUAUGAAAAUCAUCUCAACAAUACGAAGUGACAACCAACCGCUAAAGGAACAAGGAUAGCUUGGGAGCAACAAGAAAUGGACACUUCUUACACCAAGAGGGUACAUUGAGAACUGGGAUUAAUGACAAACACCAUGAUAGCAACAAUCCAUAGGAAAAGCUAUAGGUGAAAUCCAAACCAAGAUAGCUCAAAUGAAGAAAUCAUGGGUUGAAAAUAUUUCAUGAUCAAAGAAUUGGUGGGUUUAAUUAUCUCAUACUUGAAAGGAAAACUCUUCGAGGCUCCUACACUAACAAGAAUGCUAUAAUACCACCUCAAAGGAAAAGGAAGAACAAAUGCACUUGGAAAUGCAAGAGAAGAAAAACUUGAGGUUCUCCAAUAAGAUUCUUGAAGAACACUUGAGAAUGAAUUGAAACCUUGAUGAACCACCAUGAAGGACCUUCGUAUACAAAUGAAUGAUGCAACAAUAUGAAGGUAGAAAAGAAUAAGAUUAUGACCUUACCAAUAUUUAGAUGAAGCCUCACAAAGAGAUACUUAAAAGAACUUGGAACUCCGGAAAAGAAAAGAUAGGCACUUGAGAAAAGAAUUGAUAUCAUGGGCCCUCCGGAAGAAGAAUUGAAAUCUCUUGGAAGAAGGAAGGACAAUAAUAAGAAUUAUGUUAUGCUCAUCCUUCAUCAAAUUAAAUUGAUGACAAGCAACGGAUCUAGCAUACGACUUAUUCUACUAGAAAUGAAUCUUGAAGAUGCACAGAGAGAUAAGCGCCACUUGAGGCAUAAUUGAAGGAAGCACCGGAAAGAAUUCCCAAUUGAAUGGGAAUUCCAAGAAUGCAUGGAAACACCUGAGAAUGAAGAGAUCAUGAGCCACCUGAGAGAAAACUUGAACAAGGCACCGGAUAAUCGAGAGACGAACGAAGAGACAACAAUUGAGAAGAAUUGCGGAUGAAAGCUGAAACCUGAGAACGAAGAAGUCUUCUGAAAUGAUGGCCUUCGGAGGAUCGAGAAUGAAAACAACUCAGAAGUGCACCGAAUAGCAGAAAGGGAUUACCCAUGAUUGGAGCAAAUAAGAUGACGACACCAAGCUGAAAUGAUGAAUUUCCAAGAGAAUGAACCAAGAUUCGAGAGAAACACUUCUUCGGACUUGAAAGAAGAGGAUGAUGAGAAGAACACCACCAAGAAUUAACUAGGGCACUCCGGAAUAAGAGAAUGCAAGAUUGAGCCAAAUAUGAGAAUUAAUUCGAAUAGGCCUUGGAGAAGGGAUAUGACUGAUGAAAUUCAUACUUAUGUCAUAGUUGAAAUAAUUAGAGAACUUCGGGAAUUUUUUUAAAAGAGCCAGGACAGAUCCUGGGAAAGAACCUGUGGGUUAUGGGCCCACUCAAAGAAACCACCAUUGAAAAGAUUGCUUAGAAGAGAGAUAAUGCACCGGUAUGAAGAGAACUAGAUGAGGUUAGCAGCUCGAAAUAAUUGAAAAGAUUGGAAACAAAAACUUCUGAAAUAUCUUGACACUCCGGAUAGAAAGAGAGAGGAAUUAGCAACAAGAUAGGCUCAUAACAAUUUCCAAUAUAGGAAAGAAUUACAAGGAUGAAUGGAUAAGAUGACACCGACAACUAAAUUGAAUUCACCGGUAAGGAUGACAAGACUAAAUAAAGAUGAACACGAAGCGUAUGAGUGCCAAACCUCGAGUUUCCUCGCGGUGGCCCCGCACGGUGCUCCGUUUUGGACCAGCACCAUCAGCACCGGCCCUCCCUGUAUUAUGUGAAAUUACUCCUCGGGUUCAUGACGCCCUGUGCUUUCAGUAUUAACAAAGUCAUUAUGUUGGGCAAAUGUAGUACCAAUGUUGGGCCUUGCCAGACCAGCUUUAAUCUAAAACGAAUUAUCAAGGGGUCCCCAUAACAACCCCGAUCAUGUUAGGAGCUCUCGUUUAUGGAACAUAACACCGGUAGCCGAAACUAAGGGGGCAAAGGUGCAACAAAACACCAGGCUAGAAAGACCGAGCCUUCCACCUUUUACCAAGUAUAUAGGUGCAUUAAAUUAAAUAGCAUUGAAUAUGGUGGUAUGAAAAGGAACGCAUGUUAUCACAUGGAAGCAACUACACCUGCAACUAGCAACGCUAACAACAUGGAUAAUCAAGCAGUAACAUAGCCAAUCAUUGGUUUGCUAGGUCGAACAGGUUGAAGGUUAUCAUGGUAUUGUUGAGAGGCUGAUAUUUAACAUGUGGUAGGCAACGAGACAUAAUCGAUAGAAGCGAUAAAACUAGCAUGGCAAUGAUAGUAAUGGUAUCUGGGGAAAUGAUCAUCUUGCCUGAGAUCCCGCUUGGAAGAAGAAUGACUCCAUGAAGCAGACGAACCGAUGUAGUCGAACGGGUCCUCACAAUCCGACACGCUUGCGGAACUCUAUCGAGAUGAAGCAAACCGGAAACAAGCAUCACCACACGAGAAUCACCACAUGAUGCAAGACACAUAUGAUGCAUGAACGGUCUAAUGCCAGACAUGACAAUCACAACAAUCAAACACUACACAUUAAGUGAAGCUCAAUGUGCAACGAGUUGCAUAUUGACGAAACUCCACAUAUGAAUUAUUUAGUUCACUCCCGGUUAUUUACACGGAAAUUUUAAUGUUGUCAAACAUGACACGGGGUGAAGCACAAAUUAAUCUACCUAGCUAGGCAUUUUAAAUGAGGCCGGAAACGUCAUAUAGCAUCUCCGAAAUGACCCCACGUGUUACAUCUUAAUUCUGUCCAGAUUUGUCCUAAUCACAAUUUAGGUUUGUUAAACGCCAAAACAAAGUGGUUCACAUGAUUCUACUCGUCGUUUUGCUCCAUUUUCCUAUAUGGCACAUCUCCAACGGAGCUACGGUUAAAUAACUACGGGCUAAACCGUUUCUAUCACGUCAACACGCAAACUGAUGCAAACAUCAUGUUUAAGUAUUUUUAUCAUGCAUGAAAGUUAGAAAUUAUUAAUCUACAUGAAAUUCUAGUCAAGUUUCAUAUAAAAAUUAUUCUGAUCCGAUGCACGGUUUAAAAGUUAAAACCAAUUUUAAAAUAUGCUUGAAAACGGUAAAUCGGUAGAUUAAACAAUACAUCGCAGAAGGAAAAAAAUCUACAUGGCCCGAAUUGAACCAAAGUGCACGGGGCGCGGGGCUGGAAUCAGCCCAAGACGGUUCUGUGAGCAUGAUUGAAAAAGAAAACACAGGAAAAAAAAAUAAAGAGGCUCCCUAGGAUUCGAUCCCAGGACCUCAGGUGCAAAGCAUUGACGCUAACCAGCUGGGCAGGCUACUACACGUGAAAAUAAUUGGGCCUCUAGCAUAAAUGAAGCAGCACGAGGAUCUCAUUCCGGAGAGACAAUAUUUGCAGAAAACAAAAUAAAUGUGGAGUUGGGGGGAUUUGAACCCACGACCUCCUCGGUGCAGACCAACGAGCUGACCAGUUGGACUGCUGCGUGUUUGUGCUACAAAAAAAUGAUUUCGCAAGGUGAAUCAAUACUUACGCGGAUCUGAACGAGAUUAAAAACGCUGAAUCUGAACCUGAGAAGCAGAUGAGGCUGGCUAUGGAUGGGAAGCAGGUCAACGCCUCGGAAUGGACGCAGCUGGCGAUGGAGAGGUUGGGGAGGGCCGGAUCUGGGACGAGGAGCUCGUCGGGGCUCGGUUUUCGCAGGAACCAGGCGAGGACGGGGUGCUGCCGUCGGGUCCCGUCAUCCCCACUUGUUUUCCUUGAAGCUACACACGCCAUGGAUGCUGCUCCUUCCCGACGAGAGAGAGAUCAGAGAACGAGAGGGAAAAGGGAGCCACGGAAAGAGGGACGCGGCGGGGCUGACCUGGCGGCGCACUUCUGCUUCGCGGUUUGGCUGAAGUGGUCGAAGGUCACGGCGCGGCUGGCUGCUACUGCUGUCGGUGCGGGCCACUGCAGUGAGCUCCGAGAAGACCAUGGCGGGGCUGCAACAGGGGACCUGCUGGUCCAUGGAGCAGGUGGAGCUUGACGGCGCCCAUGGCUCCUCUGCUGGUGGCCUCACGGUCGCUGGGGCUGGUGCACGCAGGCGGAUCGAGGGAGGCGGCGGUUCUGGAUGGAUGGAUGGAUUUGUUUUGGAAUCAGGGAGGAACCCGAUGGAGGAGGAGGCUGGUUGGGUAGCUGGGGAUUCCAAGGCAAGCAGGUGGCAGCGGGAUGAGGGAUUGGAUAGGGGUAGGCUAGGGUUAGGCUAGAAUGGACAUAAUUACAAUAAGCGGAUUUGUGGUAGGGGUUGCCAAGACCCUCCGAUUAAAUCGGACGGACGAAAUAAAUAGGCUAGGAAGCCCAAUGGACAAACCGAUGACGUUUUGCGGUAAAACGGGGUUGAUCCGGAUCCAACGGUCACGACCGCCCGGUUCGGAUCCGUGGAAGGUUCCGGACUAGGUUGCGGACAGGUCGGUGCACUGCGCAGAGGGGCUAGGCAGGGAUGAGAGGGAAAACGGGCGACGCGGCAACGUAUUUUAAAAACACCGACAACCUUCCGACGGUAGUCCGAAUACGGUGCCGCUACGGUCGACCGUUCGGGUACCAGACAGACUCCGAUCGCGACGAAAUUCGACAGGCGGUCUAGCUAUAUUAAAAUACGACCGCACGUCGAAUAGCAAGCCAAUCAGAGAAGGUUUUCGCACACUUUUAAAACUGGGUUCGACGAUGCCGCGGGCGCGUGCGUGUGCGGUCGGGCUCAGAACGGACAACGACGAGAACCGGCAACUAACAACGGAUGCAAGUUUUAAAAACUGGCGGCAACGGAGAUGCCGAUGCAAUGCAGAUGAUGCGCAUGAUGCGAUGAUGAUGCGACAAAAGAAAAAUAGACACACGGCGAAAACAGAAAGAAAGGAGAAUCUUCUGGAACGUCGGCAUCGGGUGUCACAACUCUCCUACACUACAAGAGGAUCUCGCCCCGAGAUCCAAGAAAGGGGGAGAGGAUGAGAAAGCAAGAGGUAAAAAUUUAGUCGCUUCUUGACAAACGAGUGAAACCAACGAUCCUUGAAGGUUGCAAGGAGAUGAGGAAUGACAUGGGAAAGAAGCAAGAAUUCACGGAAAAUUUCGGCAGCACUUCGGUAGGAAAAUGGGACAAAAAAUUCGAUAAGAAGGUAGAAAUAGACAAUAUUCACAACAAACAAGUAAAUAGAACAAGGGAACAACAUGACCUUGAUAGGAUAACAUGAUUGACCCAAAGAGCAACGUCACAAUGCCUCCGGAACAAGAGAAUAUUAACUAGCUCAUACGGAAGAAGAGAAUGAAGAAAAGAAUGACAACUAUCAUCACAAUAGAAUUGAAGAUCCUCCGGACUGAGAAUUGACGUAGCAAUUGGAAACCCAACAACCAAAGGAACAAGAUAGUAGUGGGCUUAUGAAAAUCAUCUCAACAAUACGAAGUGACAACCAACCGCUAAAGGAACAAGGAUAGCUUGGGAGCAACAAGAAAUGGACACUUCUUACACCAAGAGGGUACAUUGAGAACUGGGAUUAAUGACAAACACCAUGAUAGCAACAAUCCAUAGGAAAAGCUAUAGGUGAAAUCCAAACCAAGAUAGCUCAAAUGAAGAAAUCAUGGGUUGAAAAUAUUUCAUGAUCAAAGAAUUGGUGGGUUUAAUUAUCUCAUACUUGAAAGGAAAACUCUUCGAGGCUCCUACACUAACAAGAAUGCUAUAAUACCACCUCAAAGGAAAAGGAAGAACAAAUGCACUUGGAAAUGCAAGAGAAGAAAAACUUGAGGUUCUCCAAUAAGAUUCUUGAAGAACACUUGAGAAUGAAUUGAAACCUUGAUGAACCACCAUGAAGGACCUUCGUAUACAAAUGAAUGAUGCAACAAUAUGAAGGUAGAAAAGAAUAAGAUUAUGACCUUACCAAUAUUUAGAUGAAGCCUCACAAAGAGAUACUUAAAAGAACUUGGAACUCCGGAAAAGAAAAGAUAGGCACUUGAGAAAAGAAUUGAUAUCAUGGGCCCUCCGGAAGAAGAAUUGAAAUCUCUUGGAAGAAGGAAGGACAAUAAUAAGAAUUAUGUUAUGCUCAUCCUUCAUCAAAUUAAAUUGAUGACAAGCAACGGAUCUAGCAUACGACUUAUUCUACUAGAAAUGAAUCUUGAAGAUGCACAGAGAGAUAAGCGCCACUUGAGGCAUAAUUGAAGGAAGCACCGGAAAGAAUUCCCAAUUGAAUGGGAAUUCCAAGAAUGCAUGGAAACACCUGAGAAUGAAGAGAUCAUGAGCCACCUGAGAGAAAACUUGAACAAGGCACCGGAUAAUCGAGAGACGAACGAAGAGACAACAAUUGAGAAGAAUUGCGGAUGAAAGCUGAAACCUGAGAACGAAGAAGUCUUCUGAAAUGAUGGCCUUCGGAGGAUCGAGAAUGAAAACAACUCAGAAGUGCACCGAAUAGCAGAAAGGGAUUACCCAUGAUUGGAGCAAAUAAGAUGACGACACCAAGCUGAAAUGAUGAAUUUCCAAGAGAAUGAACCAAGAUUCGAGAGAAACACUUCUUCGGACUUGAAAGAAGAGGAUGAUGAGAAGAACACCACCAAGAAUUAACUAGGGCACUCCGGAAUAAGAGAAUGCAAGAUUGAGCCAAAUAUGAGAAUUAAUUCGAAUAGGCCUUGGAGAAGGGAUAUGACUGAUGAAAUUCAUACUUAUGUCAUAGUUGAAAUAAUUAGAGAACUUCGGGAAUUUUUUUAAAAGAGCCAGGACAGAUCCUGGGAAAGAACCUGUGGGUUAUGGGCCCACUCAAAGAAACCACCAUUGAAAAGAUUGCUUAGAAGAGAGAUAAUGCACCGGUAUGAAGAGAACUAGAUGAGGUUAGCAGCUCGAAAUAAUUGAAAAGAUUGGAAACAAAAACUUCUGAAAUAUCUUGACACUCCGGAUAGAAAGAGAGAGGAAUUAGCAACAAGAUAGGCUCAUAACAAUUUCCAAUAUAGGAAAGAAUUACAAGGAUGAAUGGAUAAGAUGACACCGACAACUAAAUUGAAUUCACCGGUAAGGAUGACAAGACUAAAUAAAGAUGAAAGCGAAGCGUAUGAGUGCCAAACCUCGAGUUUCCUCGCGGUGGCCCCGCACGGUGCUCCGUUUUGGACCAGCACCAUCAGCAUCGGCCCUCCCUGUAUUAUGUGAAAUUACUCCUCGGGUUCAUGACGCCCUAUGCUUUCAGUAUUAACAAAGUUAUUAUGUUGGGCAAAUGUAGUACCAAUGUUGGGCCUUGCCAGACCAGCUUUAAUCUAAAACGAAUUAUCAAGGGGGUCCCCAUAACAACCCCGACCGUGUUAGGAGCGCUCGUUUAUGGAACAUAACACCGGUACCCGAAACUAAGGGGGCAAAGGUGGAACAAAACACCAGGCUAGAAAGACCGAGCCUUCCACCUUUUACCAAGUAUAUAGGUGCAUUAAAUUAAAUAGCAUUGAAUAUGGUGGUAUGACAAGGAACCCAUGUUAUCACAUUGAAGCAACUACACCUGCAACUAGCAACGCUAACAACAUGGAUAAGCAAGCUGUAACAUAGCCAAUCAUUGGUUUGCUAGGUCGAACAGGUUGAAGGUUAUCAUGGUAUUGUUGAGAGGCUGAUAUUUAACAUGUGGUAGGCAACGAGACAUAAUCGAUAGAAGCGAUAAAACUAGCAUGGCAAUGAUAGUAAUGGUAUCUGGGGAAAUGAUCAUCUUGCCUGAGAUCCCGCUUGGAAGAAGAAUGACUCCAUGAAGCAGACGAACCGAUGUAGUCGAACGGGUCCUCACAAUCCGACACGCUUGCGGAACUCUAUCGAGAUGAAGCAAACCGGAAACAAGCAUCACCACACGAGAAUCACCACACGAUGCAAGACACAUAUGAUGCAUGAACGGUCUAAUGCCAGGCAUGCCAAUCACAACAAUCAAACACUACACAUUAUGUGAAGCUCAAUGUGCAACGAGUUGCAUAUUGAUGAAACUCCACAUAUUAAUUACUUAGUUCACUCCCGGUUAUUUACACGGCAAUUUUAAUGUUGUCAAACAUGACACGGGGUGAAGCAUAAAUUAAUCUACCUAGCUAGGCAUUUUAAAUGAGACCGGAAAUGUCAUAUAACAUCUCUGAAAUGACCCCACGUGUUACAUCUUAAUUCUGUCCAGAUUUGUCCUAAUCACAAUUUAGGUUUGUUAAACGCCAAAACAAAGUGGUUCACAUGAUUCUACUCGUCGUUCUGCUCCAUUUUCCUAUAUGGCACAUCUCCAAAGGAGCUACGGUUAAAUAACUAUGGGCUAAACCGUUUCUAUCACGUCAACACGCAAACCGAUGCAAACAUCAUGUUUAAGUAUUUUUAUCAUGCAUGAAAGUUGGAAAUUAUUAAUCUACAUGAAAUUCUAGUCAAGUUUCAUAUAAAAAUUAUUCCGAUCCGAUGCACGGUUUAAAAGUUAAAACCAAUUUUAAAAUAUGCUUGAAAACGGUAAAUCGGUAGAUUAAACAAUACAUCGCAGAAGGAAAAAAAAUCUACAUGGCCCGAAUUGAACCAAAGUGCACCGGGCGCGGGGCUGGAAUCAGCCCGAGACGUCUCUGUGAGCAUGAUUGAAAAAGAACACACAGGAAAAAAAAUAAAGAGGCUCCCUAGGAUUCGAUCCCAGGACCUCAGGUGCAAAGCAUUGACGCUAACCAACUGGGCAGGCUACUACACGUGAAAAUAAUUGGGCCUCUAGCAUAAAUGAAGCAACACGAGGAUCUCAUUCCCGAGAGACAAUAUUUGCAGAAAACAAAAUAAAUGUGGAGUUGGGGGGAUUUGAACCCACGACCUCCUCGAUGCAGACCAACGAGCUGACCAGUUGGACUGCUGCGUGUUUGUGCUACAAACAAAGGAUUUCGCAAGGUGAAUUAGUACUUACGCGGAUCUGAACGAGAUUAAAAACGCUGAAUCUGAACCUGAGAAGCAGAUGAGGCUGGCUAUGGAAGGGAAGCAGGUCAACGCCUCGGUAAGGACGCAGCUGGCGAUGGAGAGGUUGGGGAGGGCCGGAUCUGGGACGAGGAGCUCGUCGGGGCUCGGUUUUCGCAGGAACCAGGCGAGGACGGGGUGUUGGCGUCGGGUCCCGUCAUCCCCACUUGUUUGCCUUAAAGCUACACACGCCAUGGAUGCUUCUCCUUCUUGACGAGAGAGAGAUCAGAGAACGAGAGGGAAAAGGGAGCCACGGAAAGAGGGACGCGGCGGGGCUGACCUGGCGGCGCACUUCUGCUGCUCGGUCUGGCUGAAGUGGUCGAAGGUCACGGCGCGGCUGGCUGCUACUGCUGUCGGUGCGGGCCAUUGCAAUGAGCUCCGAGAAGACCAUGGCGGGGCUACAGCAGGGGACCUGCUGGUCCAUGGAGCAGGUGGAGCUUGACGGUGUCCAUGGCUCCUCUGCUGGUGGCCUCACGGUCGCUGGGGCUGGUGCACGCACGUAGAUCGAGGGAGGUGGCGGUCUGGAUGGAUGGAUGGAUUUGUUUUGGAAUCAGGGAGGAACCCGAUGGAGGAGGAGGCUGGUUGGGUUGCUGGGGAUUCCAAGGCAAGCUGGUGGCGGCAGGAUGAGGGAUUGGACAGGGGUAGGCUAGGGUUAGGCUAGAAUGGACAUAAUUACAAUAAGCGGAUUUGUGGUAGGGGUUGCCAAGACCCUCCGAUUAAAUCAGACGGACGAAAUAAAUAGGCUAGGAAGCCCAAUGGACAAACCGAUGACGUUUUGCGGUAAAACGGGGUUGAUCCGGAUCCAACGAUCACGACCGCCCGGUUCGGAUCCGUGGAAGGUUCCGGACUAGGUUGCGGACAGGUCGGUGCACUGCGCAGAGGGGCUAGGCAGGGAUGAGAGGGAAAACGGGCGACGCGGCAACGUAUUUUAAAAACACCGACAACCUUCCGACGGUAGUCCGAAUACGGUGCCGCUACGGUCGACCGUUCGNNNNNNNNNNNNNNNNNNNNNNNNNNNNNNNNNNNNNNNNNNNNNNNNNNNNNNNNNNNNNNNNNNNNNNNNNNNNNNNNNNNNNNNNNNNNNNNNNNNNCUUUGUGUGUAUCAAACGUCGCAACGUAACUGGGUGACUAUAAAGAUGCUCUACAGGUAUCUCCGAAGGUGUUAGUUGAGUUAGUAUGGAUCAAGACUGGGAUUUGUCACUCCGUGUGACGGAGAGGUAUCUCGGGGCCCACUCGGUAAUACAACAUCACACACAAGCCUUGCAAGCAAUGUAACUUAGUGUAAGUUGCGGGAUCUUGUAUUACGGAACGAGUAAAGAGACUUGCCGGUAAACGAGAUUGAAAUAGGUAUGCGGAUACUGACGAUCGAAUCUCGGGCAAGUAACAUACCGAAGGACAAAGGGAAUGACAUACGGGAUUAUACGAAUCCUUGGCACUGAGGUUCAAACGAUAAGAUCUUCGUAGAAUAUGUAGGAUCCAAUAUGGGCAUCCAGGUCCCGCUAUUGGAUAUUGACCGAGGAGUCUCUCGGGUCAUGUCUACAUAGUUCUCGAACCCGCAGGGUCUGCACACUUAAGGUUCGACGUUGUUUUAUGCGUAUUUGAGUUAUAUGGUUGGUUACCGAAUGUUGUUCGGAGUCCCGGAUGAGAUCACGGACGUCACGAGGGUUUCCGGAAUGGUCCGGAAACGAAGAUUGAUAUAUAGGAUGACCUCAUUUGAUUACCGGAAGGUUUUCGGAGUUACCGGGAAUGUACCGGGAAUGACGAAUGGGUUCCGGGAGUUCACCGGAGGGGGGCAACCCACUCCGGGGAAGCCCAUAGGCAUUUGGGGGGUCACACCAGCCCUUAGUGGGCUGGUGGGACAGCCCACCAAUCCCCUAUGCGCCAAGAGAGAAAAAUCAAAGGAAAGAAAAAAAGGGGGAAGAAGUGGGAAGGGGGAAGGACUCCCUCCCACCAAACCAAGUAGGACUCGGUUUGGGGGGGAAGAGUCCUCCCCCCUGGCUCGGCCGACCCCUUGGGGAUCCAUUGGACCCCAAGGCAAGGUCCCCCUCCCUCCUCCUAUAUAUAUGGGGCUUUUAGGGCAGAUUUGAGACGACUUUCUCACGACUGCCCGACCACAUACCUCCAUAGUUUUUCCUCUAGAUCGUGUUUCUGCGGAGCUCGGGCGGAGCCCUGCUGAGACAAGAUCAUCACCAACCUCCGGAGCGCCGUCACGCUGCCGGAGAACUCUUCUACCUCUCCGUCUCUCUUGCUGGAUCAAGAAGGCCGAGAUCAUCGUCGAGCUGUACGUGUGCUGAACGCGGAGGUGCCGUCCGUUCGGUACUAGAUCGUGGGACUGAUCGCGGGAUUGUUCGCGGGGCGGAUCGAGGGACGUGAGGACGUUCCACUACAUCAACCGCGUUCUCUAACGCUUCUGCUGUACGAUCUACAAGGGUACGUAGAUCACUCAUCCCCUCUCGUAGAUGGACAUCACCAUGAUAGGUCUUCGUGCGCGUAGGAAAAUUUUUGUUUCCCAUGCGACGUUCCCCAACAGUGGCAUCAUGAGCUAGGUUCAUGCGUAGAUGUCUUCUCGAGUAGAACACAAAAGGUUUUGUGGGCGGUGAUGUGCGUUUUGCUGCCCUCCUUAGUCUUUUCUUGAGUCCGCGGUAUUGUUGGAUUGAAGCGGCUUGGACCGACAUUACUCGUACGCUUACGAGAGACUGGUUUCAUCGUUACGAGUAACCCCCUUUGCUCAAAGAUGACUGGCAAGUGACGGUUUCUCCAACUUUAGUUGAAUCGGAUUUGACCGAGGAGGUCCUUGGAUGAGGUUAAAUAGCAACUCAUAUAUCUCCGUUGUGGUGUUUGCGUAAGUAAGAUGCGAUCCUACUAGAUACCCUUGGUCACCACGUAAAACAUGCAACAACAAAAUUAGAGGACGUCUAACUUGUUUUUGCAGGGUAUGAUUGUGAUGUGAUAUGGCCAAUGAUGUGAUGUGAUAUAUUGGAUGUAUGAGAUGAUCAUGUUGUAAUAGAAAUAUCGACUUGCACGUCGAUGGUACGGCAACCGGCAGGAGCCAUAGGGUUGUCUUUAUACUAACAUAUGUGCUUGCAGAUGCGUUUACUAUUUUGCUAGGAUGUAGCUUUAGUAGUGAUAGCAUAAGUAGCAUGACAACCCCGAUGGCGACACGUUGAUGGAGAUCAUGAUGAUGGAGAUCAUGGUGUGGCGCCGGUGACAAGAAGAUCGUGCCGGUGCUUUGGUGAUGGAGAUCAAGAAGCACGUGAUGAUGGCCAUAUCAUGUCACUUAUGAAUUGCAUGUGAUGUUAAUCCUUUUAUGCACCUUAUUUUGCUUAGAACGACGGUAGCAUUAUGAGGUGAUCUCUCACUAAAAUUUCAAGACGAAAUUGUGUUCUCCCCGACUGUGCACCGUUGCUACAGUUCGUCGUUUCGAGACACCACGUGAUGAUCGGGUGUGAUAGACUCAACGUUCACAUACAACGGGUGCAAAACAGUUGCGCACGCGGAACACUCGGGUUAAGCUUGACGAGCCUAGCAUGUGCAGACAUGGCCUCGGAACACAUGAGACCGAAAGGUCGAUCAUGAAUCAUAUAGUUGAUAUGAUUAGCAUAGGGAUGCUUACCACUGAAACUACUCUCGACUCACGUGAUGAUCGGACUUGGGAUAGUGUAAGUGGAUCAUGAACCACUCAAAUGACUAGAGAGAUGUACUUUUUGAGUGGGAGUUUGGCGUAUAAUUUGAUUAAGUUGAACUCUAAUUAUCUUGAACAUAGUCUAAGUCCACUUUGAAUAUAUUUGUGUUGUAGAUCAUGGCUCACGCGAGUGUCAUCCUGAAUUUUAAUACGUUCCUAGAGAAAGCUAAGUUGAAAGAUGAUGGAAGCAACUUUGUAGACUGGGCUCGUAAUCUUAAGCUAAUCUUACAAGCUGGAAAGAAGGAUUAUGUCCUUAAUGCUGCGCUAGGAGAUGAACCACCCGCUACGGCUGAUCAGGAUGUUAAGAACGCUUGGUUAGCGCGUAAGGAGGACUACUCAAUAGUUCAAUGUGCAGUCUUGUAUGGCUUAGAACCGGGACUUCAACGUCGCUUUGAGCGUCAUGGAGCAUUUGAGAUGUUCCAGGAGUUGAAGUUUAUCUUUCAGAAGAACGCCCGGAUCGAGAGGUAUGAGACCUCCGAUAAAUUCUAUGCUUGCAAGAUGGAGGAAAACUCGUCUGUCAGUGAACAUGUGCUCAAAAUGUCUGGGUACUCAAACCGUCUAGCUGAACUGGGGAUUGAACUCCCGCAAGAAGCUAUCACUGACAGAAUCCUUCAAUCACUGCCGCCAAGCUAUAAAGGCUUUGUGUUGAACUACAACAUGCAAGGGAUGAACAAGUCUCCCGGCGAGUUGUUUGCGAUGCUGAAAGUCGCAGAGUCUGAACUCCGUAAAGAGCAUCAAGUGUUGAUGGUGAGCAAGACCACUAGUUUCAAGAGAAACGGCAAAGGCAAGAAGGGCAAUUCGAAGAAGAGCGGCAAGCCUGUUGCCAAUCCGCCGAAGAAACCCAAGGCUGGCCCUAAGCCUGAAACAGAGUGCUUCUAUUGCAAGGGUAUGGGUCACUGGAAGCGCAAUUGCCCCAAGUAUCUGGCAGAUAAGAAGGCGGGCAAAGAAAAAUCAGGUAUAUUUGAUAUACAUGUUAUUGAUGUGUACUUAACCGGCUCUCGUAGUAGUGCCUGGGUAUUCGAUACCGGUUCUGUUGCUCACAUUUGCAACUCGAAGCAGGAACUGCGGAAUAGACGAAGGCUGGCGAAAGACGAAGUGACGAUGCGCGUGGGAAACGGUUCCACGGUUGAUGCAAUCGCCGUCGGCGCAGUGUCACUUCAACUACCAUCGGGAUUAGUGAUGAACUUAAAUCAUUGUUAUUUAGUGCCUGCGUUGAGCAUGAACAUUAUAUCUGGAUCUUGUUUAUUGCGAGACGGUUACUCUUUUAAGUCUGAGAAUAAUGGUUGUUCUAUUUCUAUGAGUAACAUCUUUUAUGGUCAUGCACCGAAUGUGAGAGGAUUGUUCAUAUUGAAUCUUGAUAGAGAUACGCAUAUACAUAACAUUGAGACCAAAAGAGUUAGAGUAAACAAUGAUAGCGCCAUAUUUUUUGUGGCACUGCCGCUUGGGUCAUAUUGGUGUAAAGCGCAUGAAGAAACUCCAUGCUGAUGGACUUUUGGAGUCACUUGACUUUGAUUCACUUGACACGUGCGAACCAUGCCUCAUGGGCAAGAUGACUAAGACUCCGUUCUCCGGAACAAUGGAGCGUGCAAGUGACUUGUUGGAAAUCAUACAUACCGAUGUGUGUGGUCCAAUGAGCGUGGAGGCACGCGGCGGAUAUCGUUAUUUUCUCACCUUCACUGACGAUUUAAGUAGAUAUGGUUAUGUCUACUUGAUGAAGCACAAGUCUGAAACAUUUGAAAAGUUCAAGCAAUUUCAGAGUGAAGUGGAAAAUCAUCGUAACAAGAAGAUCAAGUUCCUACGGUCUGAUCGUGGGGGUGAAUAUCUGAGUUUCGAGUUUGGUACUCACUUAAGACAAUGUGGAAUUGUUUCGCAGUUAACACCGCCUGGAACACCACAGCGUAAUGGUGUGUCCGAACGUCGUAAUCGUACUUUGUUAGAGAUGGUGCGAUCUAUGAUGUCUCUUACUGAUUUGCCGUUAUCAUUUUGGGGUUAUGCAUUAGAAACAGCUGCAUUCACUUUAAAUAGGGCACCAUCAAAAUCCGUUGAGACGACACCAUACGAACUGUGGUAUGGCAAAAGACCAAAGUUGUCGUUUCUUAAAGUUUGGGGAUGUGAUGCUUAUGUCAAAAAGCUUCAGCCUGAAAAGCUGGAACCCAAAGCGGAAAAAUGCGUCUUCAUAGGUUACCCAAAGGAGACAGUUGGGUACACCUUCUAUCUCAAAUCCGAGGGCAAAGUGUUUGUUGCUAAAAACGGAACUUUUCUCGAGAAGGAGUUUCUCUCGAGAGAAUUGAGUGGGAGGAAGAUAGAACUUGACGAGGUUGUCGAACCUCUCAUCCCUCUGGAUGGUGGCGCAGGGCAAGGGGAAACCUCUGUCAUUGCGACGCCGGUUGAGGAGGAAGUUAAUGAUGAUGAUCAUGAAACUCCAGGUCAAGUUUCUGUUGAACCACGCAGGUCGACGAGAUCACGCGCUGCUCCAGAGUGGUACGGUAAUCCCGUCUUAUCAAUCAUGUUGUUAGACAACAAUGAACCUGCAAAUUAUGAAGAAGCAAUGGUGGGCCCAGAUUCCAACAAAUGGCUAGAAGCCAUGAAAUCCGAGAUAGGAUCCAUGUAUGAGAACAAAGUGUGGACUUUGGAGAUACUACCUGAGGGCCGCAAGGCUAUUCAGAACAAAUGGAUCUUUAAGAAGAAGACGGACGCUGACGGUAAUGUGACCGUUUAUAAAGCUCGACUUGUGGCAAAGGGUUUUUCACAAGUUCCAGGAAUUGACUACGAUGAGACUUUCUCUCCCGUAGCGAUGCUUAAGUCCGUCAGAAUCAUGUUAGCAAUAGCUGCAUUUUUCGAUUAUGAAAUCUGGCAGAUGGAUGUCAAAACGGCGUUCCUUAACGGUUUCCUUAAGGAAGAGUUGUAUAUGAUGCAACCCGAAGGUUUUGUCGAUCCUAAAAAUGCUGACAAGGUGUGCAAGCUCCAGCGAUCCAUUUAUGGACUGGUGCAAGCAUCUCGGAGUUGGAACAAGCGCUUUGAUGAGGUGAUCAAAGCAUUUGGGUUUAUACAAGUGGUUGGAGAAUCUUGUAUUUACAAGAAAGUGAGUGGGAGCUCUGUGGCGUUUCUAAUAUUAUAUGUGGAUGACAUAUUACUGAUUGGAAACAACGUAGAGCUUUUGGAGAGCAUAAAAGGUUACUUGAAUGAAAGUUUCUCUAUGAAGGACCUAGGAGAAGCUGCUUACAUUCUAGGCAUUAAGAUCUAUAGGGAUAGAUCAAAACGCCUGAUAGGACUUUCACAAAGCACAUACCUUGAUAAAGUUUUGAAGAGGUUCAAAAUGGAACAGUCCAAGAAAGGGUUCUUGCCAGUGUUACAAGGUACAAGAUUGAGUAAGACUCAGUGCCCAGCAACUGAUGAAGAUAGAGAGCAUAUGCGCUCCGUCCCCUAUGCUUCAGCCGUAGGCUCUAUCAUGUAUGCAAUGCUGUGCACUAGACCGGAUGUUAGCCUGGCCAUAAGUAUGGCAGGUAGGUUCCAGAGUAAUCCAGGAGUGGAUCACUGGACGGCGGUCAAGAAUAUCCUGAAGUACCUGAAAAGGACUAAGGAGAUGUUUCUCGUGUAUGGAGGUGACGAAGAGCUCGCCGUAAAAGGUUACGUCGAUGCAAGCUUUGACACAGAUCCGGACGACUCUAAGUCGCAAACCGGAUACGUAUUUAUUCUUAAUGGGGGUGCAGUAAGCUGGUACAGUUCCGAGCAAAGCGUCGUAGCAGAUUCUACAUGUGAAGCGGAGUACAUGGCUGCCUCGGAGGCGGCUAAGGAGGGUGUCUGGAUGAAGCAGUUCAUGACGGAUCUUGGAGUGGUGCCAAGUGCACUGGAUCCAAUAACCUUGUUCUGUGACAACACUGGUGCCAUUGCCUUAGCAAAGGAACCAAGGUUUCACAAGAAGACCAGACACAUCAAACGACGCUUCAACCUCAUCCGCGACUACAUCGAGGAGGAGGACAUAAAUAUAUGCAAAGUGCACACGGAUCUGAAUGUAGCAGACCCGCUGACUAAACCUCUUCCACGGCCAAAACAUGAUCGACACCAGAACUGUAUGGGUGUUAGAUUUAUUACAAUGUAAUUCACAUGGUGAUGUGAGGGCUAGAUUAUUGACUCUAGUGCAAGUGGGAGACUGUUGGAAUUAUGCCCUAGAGGCAAUAAUAAAUGUAUAGUUAUUAUUAUAAUUCCUGUAUCAAGAUAAUAGUUUAUUAUCCAUGCUAUAAUUGUAUUGAAUGAAGACUCAUUUACAUGUGUGGAUACAUAGACAAAACACCGUCCCUAGCAUGCCUCUAGUUGGCUAGCCAGUUGAUCGAUGAUAGUCAGUGUCUUCUGAUUAUGAACAAGGUGUUGUUGCUUGAUAACUGGAUCACGUCAUUGGGAGAAUCACGUGAUGGACUAGACCCAAACUAAUAGACGUAGCAUGUUGAUCGUGUCAUUUUGUUGCUACUGUUUUCUGCGUGUCAAGUAUUUAUUCCUAUGACCAUGAGAUCAUAUAACUCACUGACACCGGAGGAAUGCUUUGUGUGUAUCAAACGUCGCAACGUAACUGGGUGACUAUAAAGAUGCUCUACAGGUAUCUCCGAAGGUGUUAGUUGAGUUAGUAUGGAUCAAGACUGGGAUUUGUCACUCCGUGUGACGGAGAGGUAUCUCGGGGCCCACUCGGUAAUACAACAUCACACACAAGCCUUGCAAGCAAUGUAACUUAGUGUAAGUUGCGGGAUCUUGUAUUACGGAACGAGUAAAGAGACUUGCCGGUAAACGAGAUUGAAAUAGGUAUGCGGAUACUGACGAUCGAAUCUCGGGCAAGUAACAUACCGAAGGACAAAGGGAAUGACAUACGGGAUUAUACGAAUCCUUGGCACUGAGGUUCAAACGAUAAGAUCUUCGUAGAAUAUGUAGGAUCCAAUAUGGGCAUCCAGGUCCCGCUAUUGGAUAUUGACCGAGGAGUCUCUCGGGUCAUGUCUACAUAGUUCUCGAACCCGCAGGGUCUGCACACUUAAGGUUCGACGUUGUUUUAUGCGUAUUUGAGUUAUAUGGUUGGUUACCGAAUGUUGUUCGGAGUCCCGGAUGAGAUCACGGACGUCACGAGGGUUUCCGGAAUGGUCCGGAAACGAAGAUUGAUAUAUAGGAUGACCUCAUUUGAUUACCGGAAGGUUUUCGGAGUUACCGGGAAUGUACCGGGAAUGACGAAUGGGUUCCGGGAGUUCACCGGAGGGGGGCAACCCACUCCGGGGAAGCCCAUAGGCAUUUGGGGGGUCACACCAGCCCUUAGUGGGCUGGUGGGACAGCCCACCAAUCCCCUAUGCGCCAAGAGAGAAAAAUCAAAGGAAAGAAAAAAAGGGGGAAGAAGUGGGAAGGGGGAAGGACUCCCUCCCACCAAACCAAGUAGGACUCGGUUUGGGGGGGAAGAGUCCUCCCCCCUGGCUCGGCCGACCCCUUGGGGAUCCAUUGGACCCCAAGGCAAGGUCCCCCUCCCUCCUCCUAUAUAUAUGGGGCUUUUAGGGCAGAUUUGAGACGACUUUCUCACGGCUGCCCGACCACAUACCUCCAUAGUUUUUCCUCUAGAUCGUGUUUCUGCGGAGCUCGGGCGGAGCCCUGCUGAGACAAGAUCAUCACCAACCUCCGGAGCGCCGUCACGCUGCCGGAGAACUCUUCUACCUCUCCGUCUCUCUUGCUGGAUCAAGAAGGCCGAGAUCAUCGUCGAGCUGUACGUGUGCUGAACGCGGAGGUGCCGUCCGUUCGGUACUAGAUCGUGGGACUGAUCGCGGGAUUGUUCGCGGGGCGGAUCGAGGGACGUGAGGACGUUCCACUACAUCAACCGCGUUCUCUAACGCUUCUGCUGUACGAUCUACAAGGGUACGUAGAUCACUCAUCCCCUCUCGUAGAUGGACAUCACCAUGAUAGGUCUUCGUGCGCGUAGGAAAAUUUUUGUUUCCCAUGCGACGUUCCCCAACAGUGGCAUCAUGAGCUAGGUUCAUGCGUAGAUGUCUUCUCGAGUAGAACACAAAAGGUUUUGUGGGCGGUGAUGUGCGUUUUGCUGCCCUCCUUAGUCUUUUCUUGAGUCCGCGGUAUUGUUGGAUUGAAGCGGCUUGGACCNNNNNNNNNNNNNNNNNNNNNNNNNNNNNNNNNNNNNNNNNNNNNNNNNNNNNNNNNNNNNNNNNNNNNNNNNNNNNNNNNNNNNNNNNNNNNNNNNNNNUGCAAGCUCCAGCGAUCCAUUUAUGGACUGGUGCAAGCAUCUCGGAGUUGGAACAAGCGCUUUGAUGAGGUGAUCAAAGCAUUUGGGUUUAUACAAGUGGUUGGAGAAUCUUGUAUUUACAAGAAAGUGAGUGGGAGCUCUGUGGCGUUUCUAAUAUUAUAUGUGGAUGACAUAUUACUGAUUGGAAACAACGUAGAGCUUUUGGAGAGCAUAAAAGGUUACUUGAAUGAAAGUUUCUCUAUGAAGGACCUAGGAGAAGCUGCUUACAUUCUAGGCAUUAAGAUCUAUAGGGAUAGAUCAAAACGCCUGAUAGGACUUUCACAAAGCACAUACCUUGAUAAAGUUUUGAAGAGGUUCAAAAUGGAACAGUCCAAGAAAGGGUUCUUGCCAGUGUUACAAGGUACGAGAUUGAGUAAGACUCAGUGCCCAGCAACUGAUGAAGAUAGAGAGCAUAUGCGCUCCGUNGUGUUACAAGGUACGAGAUUGAGUAAGACUCAGUGCCCAGCAACUGAUGAAGAUAGAGAGCAUAUGUGCUCGGUCCCCUAUGCUUCAGCCAUAGGCUCUAUCAUGUAUGCAAUGCUGGGCACUAGACCAGAUGUUAGCCUGGCCAUAAGUAUGGCAGGCAGGUUCCAGAGUAAUCCAGGAGUGGAUCACUGGAUAGCGGUCAAGAAUAUCCUAAAGUACCUGAAAAGGACUAAGGAGAUGUUUCUCGUGUAUGGAGGUGACGAAGAGCUCGCCGUAAAAGGUUNNNNNNNNNNNNNNNNNNNNNNNNNNNNNNNNNNNNNNNNNNNNNNNNNNNNNNNNNNNNNNNNNNNNNNNNNNNNNNNNNNNNNNNNNNNNNNNNNNNNGAUACUUGGGGCAAUUGCGCUUCCAGUGACCCAUACCCUUGCAAUAGAAGCACUCUGUUUCAGGCUUAGGUCCAACCUUGGGUUUCUUCGGCGGAUUGGCAACAGGCUUGCCGCUCUUCUUCGAAUUGCCCUUCUUGCCUUUGCCGUUUCUCUUGAAACUAGUGGUCUUGCUCACCAUCAACACUUGAUGCUCUUUACGGAGUUCAGACUCUGCGACUUUCAGCAUCGCAAACAACUCGCGGGGAGACUUGUUCAUCCCUUGCAUGUUGUAGUUCAACACAAAGCCUUUAUAGCUUGGCGGCAGUGAUUGGAGGAUUCUGUCAGUGAUAGCUUCUUGCGGGAGUUCAAUCCCCAGUUCAGCUAGACGGUUUGAGUACCCAGACAUUUUGAGCACAUGUUCACUGACAGACAAGUUUUCCUCCAUCUUGCAAGCAUAGAAUUUAUCGGAGGUCUCAUACCUCUCGAUCCGGGCGUUCUUCUGAAAGAUAAACUUCAACUCCUGGAACAUCUCAAAUGCUCCAUGACGCUCAAAGCGACGUUGAAGUCCCGGCUCUAAGCCAUACAAGACUGCACAUUUAACUAUUGAGUAGUCCUCCUUACGUGAUAACCAAGCGUUCUUAACAUCCUGAUCAGCCGUAGCGGGUGGUUCAUCUCCUAGCGCAGCAUUAAGGACAUAAUCCUUCUUUCCAGCUUGUAAGAUUAGCUUAAGAUUACGAGCCCAGUCUACAAAGUUGCUUCCAUCAUCUUUCAACUUAGCUUUCUCUAGGAACGUAUUAAAAUUNNNNNNNNNNNNNNNNNNNNNNNNNNNNNNNNNNNNNNNNNNNNNNNNNNNNNNNNNNNNNNNNNNNNNNNNNNNNNNNNNNNNNNNNNNNNNNNNNNNNUAAUAAUAACUAUACAUUUAUUAUUGCCUCUAGGGCAUAAUUCCAACAAAUAGUACAAGCAUUCUCAUUGCACAAGAUGUUAUUCAGUAGAAUCUCAGCUUGUUCUACGGUUCGUUCCCUAAAAACACUACCAGCACAACUAUCUAGGUGGUCUUUAGAAGCAUCGGUAAGUCCAUUAUAGAAGAUAUCAAGUAAUUCGUUCUUCUCAAGAGGGUGAUCAGGCAAAGCAUUCAGUAGCUGGAUAAGCCUCCCCCAAGCUUGUGGGAGACUCUCUUCUUCAGCUUGAGCAAAGUUGUAUAUUUCCUGCAAGGCAGCUUGCUUCUUAUGGGUAGGGAAAUAUUUUUCAGAGAAGUAGUAGACCAUAUCCUAGGGGCUACGCACACAACCAGGAGCAAGAGAAGUGAACCAGGUCUUAGCAUCAUCCUUUAGCGAGAAAGGAAACAGCUUGAGCAUAUAGUAGUGGUGGAUCUUUCCCUCACUAGUGAAUAGGGUGGCUAUAUCGUGCAGUUUGGUAAGAUGGGCUACAACCGUUUCAGACUCAUAACCGUGAAAAGGAUCAGAUUCGACCAGAGAGAUUAACUCAGGGUCAAAAGAGAAUUCAUAACCCUUAUCGGUCACAAAGAUAGGCGAAGUGGCAAACUUCGGGUCGUAUUUCAUCCUAGCGUUCAGAGAUUUUUCUUUCCACUUGCGCAGUAAUUUCUCAACAUCAUAGCUAAUCCUCAGCUAUCUCUCCCUCCAUAACAUAAUGCGUAUCAGGCAUAACAGGCAAUUCAGGCAUAGUAGUAGGUUCUACUUCAAUAGUAUCAGCAGUUUCAGAAGUAUCAUCACAUCUAGCAGCAACUCUAGCAAUAUGUGCAUCAAGGAAUGCACCAAGUGGAAAAGUAGUAUCAGGCAUAGCAUCAUCAGGCAUAGUAUCAAGCAUAGCAUCAUCAUAAGCAUCAUGGGUAGCAUAAGUACCAUCAUCAAGCAUAGGCAACAUAUCAAGAUUUCUAGCAGGAGGUGAAGUCGCAAACUUACUCAUAACUGAAGAUGAAUCAAGUGCAGAACUAGAUGGCAGUUCCUUAUCUCUCCUCGCAGUGGAAGGUAAGAUUUUAGUUCUUGGAUCUUUCAGAUUCCUCAUAGUGAUCAGCAGACGUCAAUCCCAAGUGACUCAGAGAAUAUAGUUGUGCUUCCCCGGCAACGGCGCCAGAAAAAGGUCUUGAUAACCCACAAGUGUAGGGGAUCGCAACAGUUUUCGAGGGUAGAGUAUUCAACCCAAAUUUGUUGGUUCGCCAAAGGGGAAGCAAAAGAAUAUUCUCAAGUAUUAGCAGUUGAGUUUGUCAGAUUCAACCACACCUGAAAGAUUAGUGUCUGCAAGCANNNNNNNNNNAGUGGCAAACUAGUAUGAUAGCAACGGUGCCAGAAAUGAUAUGUUGACGGCAGACUAUUCCUAACUGGUGUAUCAAUGGCGCCAGUAAGUUGCACGUGGGCGAGUAACUAUUCUUCCCUGACAACAGUGUCGGAAAAGGAUCUUCCAACAAGUAACAGUGAAGUAGCAAGGAACACCAGUAGUAGCAGCAGCAGAGUAACAGCAGUAGCAACAGUAGUAGCAAAGUGGCCCAAUCCCUUUUGUAGCAAGGGACAAGCCUAGGCAAAGUAACGUAGCAAGGACCAGUAGUAAAAGACUCGUAGGCAGUGGAUCGGUGAUGGAUGAGUAUGACGGAUGUGAUUCAUCAUGUAACAGCUAUAACACGAAGAGAUAUAUAACUAGCUCCCGUUCGUUAAUCUAAUGUAGGCAUGUAUUCCGUAUGUAGUCAUACGUGCUUAGGGGAAAAACUUGCAUGACAUCUAUUGUCCAUCCCUCCUAUGGCAGCGGGGUCCUAAUGGAAACUACGGGAUAUUAAGGUUCUCCUUUUAAUAAAGAACCGGACCAACGCAUUAACACGCGGNNNNNNNNNNNNNNNNNNNNNNNNNNNNNNNNNNNNNNNNNNNNNNNNNNNNNNNNNNNNNNNNNNNNNNNNNNNNNNNNNNNNNNNNNNNNNNNNNNNNGAACUAUAUGGGUGUUAGAUUCGUUAGAAUCACAUGGUGAUGUGAACUAGAUUAUUGACUCUAGUGCAAGUGGGAGACUGUUGGAAAUAUGCCCUAGAGGCAAUAAUAAAUUAGUUAUUAUUAUAUUUCUUUGUUCAUGAUAAUCGUUUAUUAUUCAUGCUAUAAUUCUAUUGAUUGGAAACAUAAUACUUGUGUGGAUACAUAGACAAAACACUGUCCCUAGUAAGCCUCUAGUUGACUAGCUCGUUGAUCAAAGAUGGUCAAGGUUUCCUGGCCAUAGGCAAGUGUUGUUACUUGAUAACAGGAUCACAUUAUUAGGAGAAUCAUGUGAUGGACUAGACCCAAACUAAUGAACGUAGCAUGUUGAUCAUGUCAUUUUGUUGCUACUGUUUUUCUGCGUGUCAAGUAUUUAUUCCUAUGACCAUGAGAUCAUAUAACUCACUGNNNNNNNNNNGUAUCUCGGGGCCCACUCGGUAAUGCAACAUCACACAUAAGCCUUGCAAGCAAAGUAACUUAGUGUAAGUUGCGGGAUCUUGUAUUACGGAACGAGUAAAGANNNNNNNNNNUUCACAACAUAACUGGGUGACUAUAAAGAUGCUCUACAGGUAUCUCCGAAGGUGUCCGUUGAGUUAGUAUGGAUCAAGACUGGGAUUUGUCACUCCGUGUGACAGAGAGAUAUCUCGGGGCCCACUCGGUAAUACAACAUCACACACAAGCCUUGCAAGCAAUGUUACUUAGUGUAUGUCACGGGAUCUUGUAUUACGGAACGAGUAAAGAGACUUGCCGGUAAACGAGNNNNNNNNNNACACCGGAGGAAUGAUUUGUGUGUAUCAAACGUCGCAACGUAACUGGGUGACUAUAAAGAUGCUCUACAGGUAUCUCCGAAGGUGUUAGUUGAGUUAGUAUGGAUCAAGACUGGGAUUUGUCACUCCGUGUGACGGAGAGCUAUUUCGGGGCCCACUCGGUAAUGCAAAAUCACACACAAGCCUUGCAAGCAAUGUAACUUAGUGUAAGUUGCGGGAUCUUGUAUUACGGAACGAGUAAAGANNNNNNNNNNCGAUGAUCGAAUAUCGGGCAAGUAACAUACCGAAGGACAAAGUGAAUGACAUACGGGAUUAUAUGAAUCCUUGGCACUGAGGUUAAACCGAUAAGAUCUUCGGAGAAUAUGUAGGAUCCAAUAUGGGCAUCCAGGUCCCGCUACUGGAUAUUGACCAAGGAGUCUCUCGGGUCAUGUCUACAUAGUUCUCGAACCCGCAGGGUGUGCACACUUAAGGUUCGACGAUGUUUUAUGCGUAUUUGAGUUACAUGGUUGGUUACCAAAUGUUGUUCGGAGUCCCGGAUGAGAUCACGGACGACACAAGGGUUUCCGGAAUGGUCCGGAAACGAAGAUUGAUAUAUAGGAUGACCNNNNNNNNNNNNNNNNNNNNNNNNNNNNNNNNNNNNNNNNNNNNNNNNNNNNNNNNNNNNNNNNNNNNNNNNNNNNNNNNNNNNNNNNNNNNNNNNNNNNGUGUGUGUGUGUGUGUGUGUGUGUGUGUUGUGCGUGUGUGUCGUCGUCGGUGGAUGGUUGCUUUUCUGCAACAUCUGUAGGGGUUGCCUGUUGUCCCUGGGGAUCUGGCCUUGUCAAGGUGCAACAUAUCAAAGGGCCCUUGCCAUGACAACCUUGUGUGGUUGUUCUUUCUCUCCAUAUCCCCGAUUUUUGCAGGCGUGUGGUCGAGUGUUGUAACCUUUGCAAUCAUCCUGGGAUAAAUAAAUUUUGUUUCCGUCCAAGUUCNNNNNNNNNNAGGGUGCAGGUCCUCAGAGCACGGUGUUGUUCGGUGAUUGAAAGAUCUCUAUGUAAUUUCCUUUGCAAUCAUCCUGGGAUAAAUAAAUUUUGUUUCCGUCCAAGUUCUAUGCGUUUUUACAUAAUUGGAACCUUAUGAUUUUAUGAAUUGUUACGUUCCUUGUACUGUGUCUAAAUGCCUGUGAUAUCUGUUGCUUGAUGCCACCACCACUGAGAUGAACAUCCUUGACAACUGCGUGAAAUAUGUUUUCUGCUCUGAAUUUUGUUGAAGUUGUAGAGCUGAUUGAAAUAACACCUGGUGUAUGUUGUAUGCUUGGGGAACUGCCAUAUGGAUAAUCAUGUGAAAUUCUUCUCCAAAUGAUCUCAAACAGGUUCCAUUGUACGUUAAAUUGUUGUAAGAUCAUGUGUUUCCCUUCUUGCAAGGCUCCUAGGCCCAAGCCUUUCUCCUGUUGAUCUUCAUCAGCAGGACUGUGGAUUUGCUCCGGCGGGCUGGUGGCGUGAAGGAGAAUCCUGGUGCCUCAGCUUCGGCGGGCUUCGAUCCUCUUUGAAUUUGUUCGCGGGGAAGGAUUAUACGUAGCUCAAAAGUCGGCUCCUCGGGAUGACGAGUUUUUUGUUUUGUUUUNNNNNNNNNNAGCGGGCUUCGAUCCUCUUUGAAUUUGUUCGCGGGGACGGAUUAUACAUAGCUCAAAAGUCGGCUCCUCGGGAUGACGAGUUUUUUGUUUUGUUUUNNNNNNNNNNNNNNNNNNNNNNNNNNNNNNNNNNNNNNNNNNNNNNNNNNNNNNNNNNNNNNNNNNNNNNNNNNNNNNNNNNNNNNNNNNNNNNNNNNNNCAAGGAACCCAUGUUAUCACAUUGAAGCAACUACACCUGCAACUAGCAACGCUAACAACAUGGAUAAGCAAGCUGUAACAUAGCCAAUCAUUGGUUUGCUAGGUCGAACAGGUUGAAGGUUAUCAUGGUAUUGUUGAGAGGCUGAUAUUUAACAUGUGGUAGGCAACAAGACAUAAUCGAUAGAAGCGAUAAAACUAGCAUGGCAAUGAUAGUAAUGGUAUCUGGNNNNNNNNNNAGCAACUGCAACUGCAACUAGCAACGCUAACAACAUGGAUAAUCAAGCGGUAACAUAGCCAAUCAGUGGUUUGCUAGGUCGAACAGGUUGAAGGUUUCAUGGCAUUGUUGAGAGGCUGAUAUUUAACAUGUGGUAGGCAACGAGACAUAAACGAUAGAAGCGAUAAAACUAGCAUGGCAAUGAUAGUAAUGGUAUCUGGGGAAAUGAUCAUCUUGCCUGAGAUCCCGCUUGGAAGAAGAAUGACUCCAUGAAGCAGACGAACCGAUGUAGUCGAACGGGUCCUCACAAUCCGACACGCUUGCGGAACUCUAUCGAGAUGAAGCAAACCGGAAACAAGCAUCACCACACGAGAAUCACCACAUGAUGCAAGACACAUAUGAUGCAUGAACGGUCUAAUGCCAGACAUGACAAUCACAACAAUCAAACACUACACAUUAAGUGAAGCUCAAUGUGCAACGAGUUGCAUAUUGACGAAACUCCACAUAUGAAUUAUUUAGUUCACUCCCGGUUAUUUACACGGAAAUUUUAAUGUUGUCAAACAUGACACGGGGUGAAGCACAAAUUAAUCUACCUAGCUAGGCAUUUUAAAUGAGGCCGGAAACGUCAUAUAGCAUCUCCGAAAUGACCCCACGUGUUACAUCUUAAUUCUGUCCAGAUUUGUCCUAAUCACAAUUUAGGUUUGUUAAACGCCAAAACAAAGUGGUUCACAUGAUUCUACUCGUCGUUUUGCUCCAUUUUCCUAUAUGGCACAUCUCCAACGGAGCUACGGUUAAAUAACUACGGGCUAAACCGUUUCUAUCACGUCAACACGCAAACUGAUGCAAACAUCAUGUUUAAGUAUUUUUAUCAUGCAUGAAAGUUAGAAAUUAUUAAUCUACAUGAAAUUCUAGUCAAGUUUCAUAUAAAAAUUNNNNNNNNNNCUGCUCCAUUUUCCUAUAUGGCACAUCUCCAAAGGAGCUACGGUUAAAUAACUAUGGGCUAAACCGUUUCUAUCACGUCAACACGCAAACCGAUGCAAACAUCAUGUUUAAGUAUUUUUAUCAUGCAUGAAAGUUGGAAAUUAUUAAUCUACAUGAAAUUCUAGUCAAGUUUCAUAUAAAAAUUAUUCUGAUCCGAUGCACGGUUUAAAAGUUAAAACCAAUUUUAAAAUAUGCUUGAAAACGGUAAAUCGGUAGAUUAAACAAUACAUCGCAGAAGGAAAAAAAUCUACAUGGCCCGAAUUGAACCAAAGUGCACGGGGCGCGGGGCUGGAAUCAGCCCAAGACGGUUCUGUGAGCAUGAUUGAAAAAGAAAACACAGGAAAAAAAAAUAAAGAGGCUCCCUAGGAUUCGAUCCCAGGACCUCAGGUGNNNNNNNNNNAUCUACAUGGCCCGAAUUGAACCAAAGUGCACCGGGCGCGGGGCUGGAAUCAGCCCGAGACGUCUCUGUGAGCAUGAUUGAAAAAGAACACACAGGAAAAAAAAUAAAGAGGCUCCCUAGGAUUCGAUCCCAGGACCUCAGGUGCAAAGCAUUGACGCUAACCAACUGGGCAGGCUACUACACGUGAAAAUAAUUGGGCCUCUAGCAUAAAUGAAGCAACACGAGGAUCUCAUUCCCGAGAGACAAUAUUUGCAGAAAACAAAAUAAAUGUGGAGUUGGGGGGAUUUGAACCCACGACCUCCUCGGUGCAGACCAACGAGCUGACCAGUUGGACUGCUGCGUGUUUGUGCUACAAAAAAAUGAUUUCGCAAGGUGAAUCAAUACUUACGCGGAUCUGAACGAGAUUAAAAACGCUGAAUCUGAACCUGAGAAGCAGAUGAGGCUGGCUAUGGAUGGGAAGCAGGUCAACGCCUCGGAAUGGACGCAGCUGGCGAUGGAGAGGUUGGGGAGGGCCGGAUCUGGGACGAGGAGCUCGUCGGGGCUCGGUUUUCGCAGGAACCAGGCGAGGACGGGGUGUUGGCGUCGGGUCCCGUCAUCCCCACUUGUUUGCCUUAAAGCUACACACGCCAUGGAUGCUUCUCCUUCUUGACGAGAGAGAGAUCAGAGAACGAGAGGGAAAAGGGAGCCACGGAAAGNNNNNNNNNNCAAAGGAUUUCGCAAGGUGAAUUAGUACUUACGCGGAUCUGAACGAGAUUAAAAACGCUGAAUCUGAACCUGAGAAGCAGAUGAGGCUGGCUAUGGACGGGAAGCAGGUCAACGCCUCGGCACGGACGCAGCUGGGGAUGGAGAGGUUGGGGAGGGCCGGAUCUGGGACGAGGAGCUCGUCGGGGCUCGGUUUUCGCAGGAACCAGGCGAGGACGGGGUGCUGCCGUCGGGUCCCGUCAUCCCCACUUGUUUUCCUUGAAGCUACACACGCCAUGGAUGCUGCUCCUUCCCGACGAGAGAGAGAUCAGAGAACGAGAGGGAAAAGGGAGCCACGGAAAGAGGGACGCGGCGGGGCUGACCUGGCGGCGCACUUCUGCUGCUCGGUCUGGCUGAAGUGGUCGAAGGUCACGGCGCGGCUGGCUGCUACUGCUGUCGGUGCGGGCCACUGCAGUGAGCUCCGAGAAGACCAUGGCGGGGCUGCAACAGGGGACCUGCUGGUCCAUGGAGCAGGUGGAGCUUGACGGCGCCCAUGGCUCCUCUGCUGGUGGCCUCACGGUCGCUGGGGCUGGUGCACGCAGGCGGAUCGAGGGAGGCGGCGGUUCUGGAUGGAUGGAUGGAUUUGUUUUGGAAUCAGGGAGGAACCCGAUGGAGGAGGAGGCUGGUUGGGUUGCUGGGGAUUCCAAGGCAAGCUGGUGGCGGCAGGAUGAGGGAUUGGACAGGGGUAGGCUAGGGUUAGGCUAGAAUGGACAUAAUUACAAUAAGCGGNNNNNNNNNNUUGCAAUGAGCUCCGAGAAGACCAUGGCGGGGCUACAGCAGGGGACCUGCUGGUCCAUGGAGCAGGUGGAGCUUGACGGUGUCCAUGGCUCCUCUGCUGGUGGCCUCACGGUCGCUGGGGCUGGUGCACGCACGUAGAUCGAGGGAGGUGGCGGUCUGGAUGGAUGGAUGGAUUUGUUUUGGAAUCAGGGAGGAACCCGAUGNNNNNNNNNNNNNNNNNNNNNNNNNNNNNNNNNNNNNNNNNNNNNNNNNNNNNNNNNNNNNNNNNNNNNNNNNNNNNNNNNNNNNNNNNNNNNNNNNNNNNNNNNNNNNNNNNNNNNNAGCUGGGGAUUCCAAGGCAAGCAGGUGGCAGCGGGAUGAGGGAUUGGAUAGGGGUAGGCUAGGGUUAGGCUAGAAUGGACAUAAUUACAAUAAGCGGAUUUGUGGUAGGGGUUGCCAAGACCCUCCGAUUAAAUCAGACGGACGAAAUAAAUAGGCUAGGAAGCCCAAUGGACAAACCGAUGACGUUUUGCGGUAAAACGGGGUUGAUCCGGAUCCAACGGUCACGACCGCCCGGUUCGGAUCCGGGGAAGGUUCCGGACUAGGUUGCGGACAGGUCGGUGCACUGCGCAGAGGGGCUAGGCAGGGAUGAGAGGGAAAACGGGCGAUGCGGCAACGUAUUUUAAAAACACCGACAACCUUCCGACGGUAGUCCGAAUACGGUGCCGCUACGGUCGACCGUUCGGGUACCAGACAGACUCCGAUCGCGACGAAAUUCGACAGGCGGUCUAGCUAUAUUAAAAUACGACCGCACGUCGAAUAUCAACCCAAUCAGAGAAGGUUUUCCACACACUUUUAAAACAGGGUUCGACGAUGCCGCGGGCGCGUGCGUGUGCGGUCGGGCUCAGAACGGACAACGACGAGAACCGGCANNNNNNNNNNNNNNNNNNNNNNNNNNNNNNNNNNNNNNNNNNNNNNNNNNNNNNNNNNNNNNNNNNNNNNNNNNNNNNNNNNNNNNNNNNNNNNNNNNNNCCUUGUCAGCAUUUUUAGGAUCGACAAAACCUUCGGGUUGCAUCAUAUACAACUCUUCCUUAAGGAAACCGUUAAGGAACGCCGUUUUGACAUCCAUCUGCCAGAUUUCAUAAUCGAAAAAUGCAGCUAUUGCUAACAUGAUUCUGACGGACUUAAGCAUCGCUACGGGAGAGAAAGUCUCAUCGUAGUCAAUUCCUGGAACUUGUGAAAAACCCUUUGCCACAAGUCGAGCUUUAUAAACCGUCACAUUACCGUCAGCGUCCGUCUUCUUCUUAAAGAUCCAUUUGUUCUGAAUAGCCUUGCGGCCCUCAGGUAGUAUCUCCAAAGUCCACACUUUGUUCUCAUACAUGGAUCCUAUCUCGGAUUUCAUGGCUUCUAGCCAUUUGUUGGAAUCUGGGCCCACCAUUGCUUCUUCAUAAUUUGCAGGUUCAUUGUUGUCUAACAACAUGAUUGACAAGACGGGAUUACCGUACCACUCUAGAGCAGCGCGUGAUCUCGUCGACCUGCGUGGUUCAACGGAAACUUGAACUGGAGUUUCAUGAUCAUCAUCAUUAACUUCCUCCUCAACCGGCGUUGCAACGAUAGAGGUUUCCCCUUGCCCUGUGCCACCAUCCAGAGGGAUGAGAGGUUCGACAACCUCGUCAAGUUCUAUCUUCCUCCCACUCAAUUCUCUCGAGAGAAACUCCUUCUCGAGAAAAGUUCCGUUUUUAGCAACAAACACUUUGCCCUCGGAUUUGAGAUAGAAGGUGUACCCAACUGUCUCCUUUGGGUAACCUAUGAAGACGCACUUUUCCGCUUUGGGUUCCAGCUUUUCAGGCUGAAGCUUUUUGACAUAAGCAUCACAUCCCCAAACUUUAAAAAACGACACUUUGGUCUUUUGCCAUACCACAGUUCGUAUGGUGUCGUCUCAACGAAUUUUGAUGGUGCCCUAUUUAAAGUGAAUGCAGUUAUUUCUAAUGCAUAACCCCAAAAUGAUAACGGCAAAUCAGUAAGAGACAUCAUAGAUCGCACCAUCUCUAACAAAGUACGAUUANNNNNNNNNNNNNNNNNNNNNNNNNNNNNNNNNNNNNNNNNNNNNNNNNNNNNNNNNNNNNNNNNNNNNNNNNNNNNNNNNNNNNNNNNNNNNNNNNNNNUGCUCAUUGGACCACACACAUCGGUAUGUAUGAUUUCCAACAAGUCACUUGCACGCUCCAUUGUUCCGGAGAACGGAGUCUUAGUCAUCUUGCCCAUGAGGCAUGGUUCGCACGUGUCAAGUGAAUCAAAGUCAAGUGACUCCAAAAGUCCAUCAGCAUGGAGUUUCUUCAUGCGCUUUACACCAAUAUGACCCAAGCGGCAGUGCCACAAAAAAUAUGGCGCUAUCAUUGUUUACUCUAACUCUUUUGGUCUCAAUGUUAUGUAUAUGCGUAUNNNNNNNNNNNNNNNNNNNNNNNNNNNNNNNNNNNNNNNNNNNNNNUAUGGCGCUACCAUUGUUUACUCUAACUCUUUUGGUCUCAAUGUUAUGUAUAUGCGUAUCGCUAUCGAGAUUCAAUAUGAACAAUCCUCUUACAUUCGGUGCAUGACCAUAAAAGAUGUUACUCAUAGAAAUAGAACAACCAUUAUUCUCAGACUUAAAAGAGUAACCGUCUCGCAAUAAACAAGAUCCAGAUAUAAUGUUCAUGCUCAACGCAGGCACUAAAUAACAAUGAUUUAAGUUCAUCACUAAUCCCGAUGGUAGUUGAAGUGACACUGCGCCGACGGCGAUUGCAUCAACCGUGGAACCGUUUCCCACGCGCAUCGUCACUUCGUCUUUCGCCAGCCUUCGUCUAUUCCGCAGUUCCUGCUUCGAGUUGCAAAUGUGAGCAACAGAACCGGUAUCGAAUACCCAGGCACUACUACGAGAGCUGGUUAAGUACACAUCAAUAACAUGUAUAUCAAAUAUACCUGAUUUUUCUUUGCCCGCCUUCUUAUCUGCCAGAUACUUGGGGCAAUUGCGCUUCCAGUGACCCAUACCCUUGCAAUAGAAGCACUCUGUUUCAGGCUUAGGGCCAGCCUUGGGUUUCUUCGGCGGAUUGGCAACAGGCUUGCCGCUCUUCUUCGAAUUGCCCUUCUUGCCUUUGCCGUUUCUCUUGAAACUAGUGGUCUUGCUCACCAUCAACACUUGAUGUUCUUUACGGAGUUCAGACUCUGCGACUUUCAGCAUCGCAAACAACUCGCGGGGAGACUUGUUCAUCCCUUGCAUGUUGUAGUUCAACACAAAGCCUUUAUAGCUUGGCGGCAGUGAUUGGAGGAUUCUGUCAGUGAUAGCUUCUUGCGGGAGUUCAAUCCCCAGUUCANNNNNNNNNNCGGGAGACUUGUUCAUCCCUUGCAUGUUGUAGUUCAACACAAAUCUUUUAUAGCUUGGCGGCAGUGAUUGAAGGAUUCUGUCAGUGAUAGCUUCUUGCGGGAGUUCAAUCCCCAGUUCAGCUAGACGGUUUGAGUACCCAGACAUUUUGAGCACAUGUUCACUGACAGACAAGUUUUCCUCCAUCUUGCAAGCAUAGAAUUUAUCGGAGGUCUCAUACCUCUCGAUCCGGGCGUUCUUCUGAAAGAUAAACUUCAACUCCUGGAACAUCUCAAAUGCUCCAUGACGCUCAAAGCGACGUUGAAGUCCCGGCUCUAAGCCAUACAAGACUGCACAUUUAACUAUUGAGUAGUCCUCCUUACGUGAUAACCAAGCGUUCUUAACAUCCUGAUCAGCCGUAGCGGGUGGUUCAUCUCCUAGCGCAGCAUUAAGGACAUAAUCCUUCUUUCCAGCUUGUAAGAUUAGCUUAAGAUUACGAGCCCAGUCUACAAAGUUGCUUCCAUCAUCUUUCAACUUAGCUUUCUCUAGGAACGUAUUAAAAUUCAGGAUGACACUCGCGUGAGCCAUGAUCUACAACACAAAUAUAUUCAAAGUGGACUUAGACUAUGUUCAAGAUAAUUAGAGUUCAACUUAAUCAAAUUAUACGCCAAACUCCCACUCAAAAAGUACAUCUCUCUAGUCAUUUGAGUGGUUCAUGAUCCACUUACACUAUCCCAAGUCCGAUCAUCACGUGAGUCGAGAGUAGUUUCAGUGGUAAGCAUCCCUAUGCUAAUCAUAUCAACUAUAUGAUUCAUGAUCGACCUUUCGGUCUCAUGUGUUCCGAGGCUAUGUCUGCACAUGCUAGGCUCGUCAAGCUUAACCCGAGUGUUCCGCGUGCGCAACUGUUUUGCACCCGUUCUAUGUGAACGUUGAGUCUAUCACACCCGAUCAUCACGUGGUGUCUCGAAACGACGAACUGUAGCAACGGUGCACCGUCGGGGAGAACACAAUUUCGUCUUGAAAUUUUAGUGAGAGAUCACCUCAUAAUGCUACCGUCGUUCUAAGNNNNNNNNNNNNNNNNNNNNNNNNNNNNNNNNNNNNNNNNNNNNNNNNNNNNNNNNNNNNNNNNNNNNNNNNNNNNNNNNNNNNNNNNNNNNNNNNNNNNAGUGUUACAAGGUACGAGAUUGAGUAAGACUCAGUGCCCAGCAACUGAUGAAGAUAGAGAGCAUAUGUGCUCGGUCCCCUAUGCUUCAGCCAUAGGCUCUAUCAUGUAUGCAAUGCUGGGCACUAGACCAGAUGUUAGCCUGGCCAUAAGUAUGGCAGGCAGGUUCCAGAGUAAUCCAGGAGUGGAUCACUGGAUAGCGGUCAAGAAUAUCCUAAAGUACCUGAAAAGGACUAAGGAGAUGUUUCUCGUGUAUGGAGGUGACGAAGAGCUCGCCGUAAAAGGUUACGUCGAUGCAAGCUUUGACACAGAUCCGGAUGACUCUAAGUCGCAAACCGGAUACGUAUUUAUUCUUAAUGGGGGUGCAGUAAGCUGGUACAGUUCCGAGCAAAGCGUCGUAGCAGAUUCUACAUGUGAAGCGGAGUACAUGGCUGCCUCGGAGGCGGCUAAGGAGGGUGUCUGGAUGAAGCAGUUCAUGACGGAUCUUGGAGUGGUGCCAAGUGCACUGGAUCCAAUAACCUUGUUCUGUGACAACACUGGUGCCAUUGCCUUAGCAAAGGAACCAAGGUUUCACAAGAAGACCAGACACAUCAAACGACGCUUCAACCUCAUCCGCGACUACAUCGAGGAGGAGGACAUAAAUAUAUGCAAAGUGCACACGGAUCUGAAUGUAGCAGACCCGCUGACUAAACCUCUUCCACGGCCAAAACAUGAUCGACACCAGAACUGUAUGGGUGUUAGAUUUAUUACAAUGUAAUUCACAUGGUGAUGUGAGNNNNNNNNNNGCCUCUUCCACGGCCAAAACAUGAUCGACACCAGAAAUGUAUGGGUGUUAGAUUUAUUACAAUGUAAUUCACAUGGUGAUGUGAGGGCUAGAUUNNNNNNNNNNNNNNNNNNNNNNNNNNNNNNNNNNNNNNNNNNNNNNNNNNNNNNNNNNNNNNNNNNNNNNNNNNNNNNNNNNNNNNNNNNNNNNNNNNNNUCCGUUCGGUACUAGAUCGUGGGACUGAUCGCGGGAUUGUUCGCGGGGCGGAUCGAGGGACGUGAGGACGUUCCACUACAUCAACCGCGUUCUCUAACGCUUCUGCUGUAUGAUCUACAAGGGUACGUAGAUCACUCAUCCCCUCUCGUAGAUGGACAUCACCAUGAUAGGUCUUCGUGCACGUAGGAAAUUUUUUGUUUCCCAUGCGACGUUCCCCAUCAGUGGCAUCAUGAGCUAGGUUCAUGCGUAGAUGUCUUCUCGAGUAGAACACAAAAGGUUUUGUGGGCGGUGAUGUGCGUUUUNNNNNNNNNNCUUAGCACCAUACACACGUCAUGCAUCUCGGCAAACUUCAAGCGAAAGCACUGGCGUGGGUGUCGGCCACGACCGUUAACCACACAAGACCGUAGUCCAGGUUUAUCGCCUAUUUGAGACUGAACCCGCAAGGAAGUCCGGCCGAGGUUUCCUCUACGUCCCUGCUACUUCUCAAACAAUAGCGCCAAAAUUUGACACGUUGACGGAGACUUGCUUGCGUUGGUUUUUCCCUUGAAGAGGAAAGGGUGAUGAAGCACAGGAGCAGUAAGUAUUUCCCUCGGUUUGAGAACCAAGGUAUCAAUACAGUAGGAGAAUCUCGUCAAGUCCAGAGUACCUGCACAAACACAAAAGNNNNNNNNNNCUUCUUGAGUAGAACACAAAAGGUUUUGUGGGCGGUGAUGUGCGUUUUUCUUCCCUCCUUAGUCUUUUCUUGAUUCCGCGGUAUUGUUGGAUUGAAGCGGCUUGGACCGACAUUACUCGUACNNNNNNNNNNGCUGCCCUCCUUAGUCUUUUCUUGAGUCCGCGGUAUUGUUGGAUUGAAGCGGCUUGGACCGACAUUACUCGUACGCUUACGAGAGACUGGUUUCAUCGUUACGAGUAACCCCCUUUGCUCAAAGAUGACUGACAAGUGACGGUUUCUCCAACUUUAGUUGAAUCGGAUUUGACCGAGGAGGUCCUUGGAUGAGGUUAAAUAGCAACUCAUAUAUCUCCGUUGUGGUGUUUUGCGUAAGUAAGAUGCGAUCNNNNNNNNNNNNNNNNNNNNNNNNNNNNNNNNNNNNNNNNNNNNNNNNNNNNNNNNNNNNNNNNNNNNNNNNNNNNNNNNNNNNNNNNNNNNNNNNNNNNGGAGGAGGGAGGGGGACCUUGCCUUGGGGUCCAAGGGAUCCCCAAGGGGUCGGCCGAGCCAAGGGGGGGAGGACUCCCCCCCCAAACCGAGUUGGACUUGGUUUGGUGGGAGGAGUCCCCCUCNNNNNNNNNNCCGGCAGCGUGACGGCGCUCCGAAGGUUGGUGAUGAUCUUGUCUCAGCAGGGCUCCGCCCGAGCUCCGCACAAACACGAUCUAGAGGAAAAACUAUGGAGGUAUGUGGUCGGGCAGCCGUGAGAAAGUCGUCUCAAAUCUGCCCUAAAAGCCCCAUAUAUAUAGGAGGAGGGAGGGGGACCUUGCCUUGGGGUCCAAGGGAUCCCCAAGGGUUCGGCCGAGCCAAGGGGGGAGGACUCCCCCCCCCCAAACCGAGUUGGACUUGGUUUGGUGGGAGGAGUCCCCCUCCCUUCCCACUUCUUCCCCUUUUAUUUUCUUUUCCUUUGAUUUUCUUCUCUUGGCGCAUAGGCCCUAUUGGGGCUGUCCCACCAGCCCACUAAGGGCUGGUGUGUCUCCCCAAAGCCUAUGGGCUUCCCCGGGGUGGGUUGCCCCCCCCCCCNNNNNNNNNNUUUUCUUUUCCUUUGAUUUUCUUCUCUAGGCGCAUAGGCCCUUUUGGGGCUGUCCCACCAGCCCACUAAGGGCUGGUGUGUCUCCCCAAAUCCUACGGGCUUCCCCGGGGUGGGUUCCCCCCCCCCCCCCNNNNNNNNNNGGGGGGAGGACUCUCCCCCCCCCCAAACCGAGUCCUACUUGGUUUGGUGGGAGGGAGUCCUUCCCCCUUCCCACUUCUUCCUUUUUUUUCUUUCCUUUGAUUUUUUCUUUCUUGGCGCAUAGGGGAUUGGUGGGCUGUCCCACCAUCCCACUAAGGGCUGGUGUGACCCCCCAAAUACCUAUAGGCUUCCCCGGAGUGGGUUGCCCCCCUCCGGUGAACUCCCGGAACCCAUUCGUCAUUCCCGGUACAUUCCCGGUAACUCCGAAAAACUUUCCGGUAAUCAAAUGAGGUCAUCCUAUAUAUCAAUCUUCGUUUCCGGACUAUUCCGGAAACCCUCGUGACGUCCGUGAUCUCAUCCGGGACUCCGAACAACAUUCGGUAACCAACCAUAUAACUCAAAUACGCANNNNNNNNNNCGUGACGUCCGUGAUCUCAUCUGGGACUCCGAACAACAUUCGGUAACCAACCAUAUAACUCAAAUACGCAUAAAACAACGUCGAACCUUAAGUGUGCAGACCCUGCGGGUUCGAGAACUAUGUAGACAUGACCCCAGAGACUUCUCGGUCAAUAUCCAAUAGCGGGACCUGGAUGCCCAUAUUGGAUCCUACAUAUUCUACGAAGAUCUUAUCGUUUGAACCUCAGUGCCAAGGAUUCGUAUAAUCCCGUAUGUCAUUCCCUUUGUCCUUCGGUAUGUUACUUGCCCGAGAUUCGAUCGUCAGUAUCCGUAUACCUAUUUCAAUCUCGUUUACUGGCAAGUCUCUUUACUCGUUCCGUAAUACAAGAUCCCGCAACUUACACNNNNNNNNNNNNNNNNNNNNNNNNNNNNNNNNNNNNNNNNNNNNNNNNNNNNNNNNNNNNNNNNNNNNNNNNNNNNNNNNNNNNNNNNNNNNNNNNNNNNUGAUAACCCACAAGUGUAGGGGAUCGCAACAGUUUUCGAGGGUAGAGUNNNNNNNNNNACCAAAGGGGAAGCGAAAGAAUAUUCUCAAGUAGUAGCAGCUGAGUUUGUCAGAUUCAACCACACCUGAAAGAUUAGUGUCUGCAAGCAAAGUAUCGGUAGCAAAGUAGUAUGAUAGCAACGGUGCGAGAAACGAUCUGUUGACGGCAGACUAUUCCUAACUGUUGUAUCAAUGGUGCCAGUAAGUUGCACAUGGGCGAGUAACUAUUCUUCCCCGACAACAGUGUCGAAAAAGGAUCUUGCAACAAGUAACAGCGAAGUAGCAAGGAACAGCAGUAGCAGUAGCAGCAGAGUAAGAGCAGUAGCAACAGUAGUAGCAAAGUGGCCCAAUCCCUUUUGUAGCAAGGGACAAGCCUAGACAAAGUAACGUAGAAAGGACCAGUAGUAAAAGACUCGUAGGAAGUGGAUCGGUGAUGGAUGAGUAUGAAGGAUGUGAUUCAUCAUGUAACAUCUAUAACACGGAGAGAUAUGUAACUAGCUCCCGUUCGUCAUUCUAAUGUAGGCAUGUAUUCCGUAUGUAGUCAUACGUGCUUAGGGAAAAGAACUUGCAUGACAUCUAUUGUCCAUCCCUCCCAUGGCAGCGGGGUCCUAAUGGAUACUACAGGAUAGUAAGGUUCUCCUUUUAAUAAAGAACCGGACCAACGCAUUAACACGCGGUGAAUACAUGAACUCCUCAUACUAUGGUCAUCUCCGGGAGUGGUUCCGGCUAUUGUCACUCCAGGGUUGCCGGGUCAUAACACAUAGUAGGUGACUACAACUUGCAAUAUAGGAUCUAAAACACACAUAUAUUGGCAACAACAUAAUAGGUUCAGAUCUGAAAUCAUGGCACUCGGGCCCUAGUGACAAGCAUUAAGCAUGGCAAAGUAGUAGCAACAUCAAUCUCAGAACAUAGUGGAUUCUAGGGAUCAAUCUCCGUCAAAACUAACUUGAUUACAUGAUAGAUCUCAUCCAACUCAUCACCGUCCAGCAAGCCUAUGAUGAGAUUACUCACGAACGAUGAAGAGCAUCAUGGAAUUGUCGAUGGAGGAAGGUUGAUGAUGACGAUGGCGACGAUUUCCCCUCUCUGGAGCCCAAAACGGACUCCAGAUCUGCCCUCCAGGUGAAGAACACGAGGUGGCGGCGCCUCUGUAUCGUAAAACGCGGUGAAACCUUCUCUCUGAUUUUUUUCCGGGCGAGUCGGAAGAUAUAGAGUUGAGCUUGGAGGCGGUGGUGCCAUGUGGGCCCCACAAGCCCUCACGAUGCGGCCUAGUGGAUGGUCGCGGCCUGUGGGCUUGUGGCCCACUGGCACGCCCCCUUCGGUGGACCUUUGCGUAGGUAUUUUUCUUUUAUUCCAGAAGAAAUCUCCGUAAAUUUUCAGGACAUUCCGAGAAAUUUUAUUUCUGCACAAAAACAACACCAUGGCAAUUCUGCUGAAAACAGCGUAAGUCCGGGUUAGUUCCAUUCAAAUAAUGCAAAUUAGAGUCCAAAACAAGGGCAAAAGAGUUCGGAAAAGUAGAUACGACGGAGACGUAUCANNNNNNNNNNNNNNNNNNNNNNNNNNNNNNNNNNNNNNNNNNNNNNNNNNNNNNNNNNNNNNNNNNNNNNNNNNNNNNNNNNNNNNNNNNNNNNNNNNNNAAAGAUCAAAUCCCCUAAAUCUUGAACCGCGAGUCUACGCGAGAACAGCUAUAAUCAGGAUUUCUAUUUUGCUUAUGGCUACCGAGAACUCAAUCACGACUCCGUUUUCAUUUUCUGGGGCAGAUGGAUCAUUUAGCGCUGAUCACCGAGAAACUCACGGAGCAAGAACUGAUUUGGCCUUCGGGGAGAGGAAAGGGCAGAGGGGUUGCCGUACCGAGAUGUAGGAGCAGGUGGGGAUGACGCGCAUGCCGUGGCGCUGCGCGUGCGCGAAGGCGGCGUCGCAGAGGCGCGCGGCGAGCCCCUGCCCGCGCUUGCUCCCGGGCACGUACGUGUGCACCAUGUCCAUCGCCGCCGGGGACGCGCCGCCGCCGCCGGAGGAGGCGCGCGGCUGGGCGACGAGGCGGUACUGGAGGAAGGCCUCGCCGUCGGGCGUCUCGAACUUCCC